UAAUGCAUGAAUGCAUCAAGUAAUCCGGAUCAGAAUAGUAAAACCAAAGAAGCACAACUUUUAUUCCCGCAGAUAGUCUUAGCCUAGGUUACAUAAAUUAAUGCAUGAAUGCAUGAGCAGCAGCUGCAUGCAAUAUUAUUGAACCCAAAUCACAACAAAAGGAAAACUUAAGACAAUGCCACUUUCGCAGGGAACGCGAUUGCAUUUAGCGUAUGCAACAAGCCUUUUAAACCUAUAGGUGACCCUGAUAGGACGAGUGAAGUCUCGUGAGGGUUUCCAGUGACGCUACCCACAAACAUCGUAUUAACUUAACAGGAUGAUCAUCCUGGAAGUUUUUCGACAAUGAAGAAAUGUUCAUGGGUGGGGCCUCCAGGUUCUGCAAUGAGGGCAUUUUCGAACUCGUUUCCAGAUUUUGGCUUUAAAAGGUUUCCCAUUUUCUCAUGGUGGAACUUGUAUAUGCCUUCGGUGUACGGUCCUGGUGGUUUCACAACCUCAGGCUUGAAGAGUGUACAUGACCACAGCGUUUUAUUUGGCUGUUUCUCGUCAGCCCCGGCCACAAUCCACGAACUGUCUUGGCUUGCCGUUAUCCAGUAUUUGUCGUUGUAGGUGGAUUUUAUAUGCACCAGACUGGGGAGGUUUACGUCCUUCUCCACUUUGAACCUUGCGUAUUUGCUCUGAACAUCCUCUCCGGAGCAUUGGAGAAUAUCUUGCAUCUUUUCGGUGGCUUGGUCUUUGUAGACCAAGUAUUUACCGCUCGUGAAUGAUUUAAGAGCAAUGAACUUUGGUAAUUCUGCCAUUUCUGAUGAUCUCUCGCUCGCGCUUCAAUUUUUUUUUAUGUAAACUCACUUCUCUCUCUCUCUCUCGUUGCUUAUUGCUUUUCCUAACUCCAACCUGCUGUGCUAUUUAUAAUCAAGCAAACCCAAACCCUGCAUGCAGCUCUGGCUUCUUUUUCUUGCUGUACUGGCCCGCGAUAAGAAAAUUGAAGCCACAAAAAAAAAAAGUCGAGCCAGGUGGCAGUUUUGAAAGGUCAAGUAAUAUUGUUCUUGAUAUAAAACAAACUAAAGCGUGCUCCACGUCUUCAAAUAAAACAAAGUUAAGGCUAGUAAUUAUCGACAUCGAUAUUUUGCGAUAUUAUCGUCGAUAUUGUCAAUAUUUAUACGAUAUGUACAUGGAUAUGUUUCGAAAUAUCCGUGAUUCAAAAAAACCGAAAUAUCCUCGAUAUUUCCUCGAUAUUAUCGAUAUUUCAGACUAUGAUGUGAACUUGAUUAUGUAAUUUCUACUACAUGCACUUAUGGGACAUAACCAUUUAUCAAUUAUAAUAAUGUCACAUAAAAAUUGAAGCCACAAAAAAAAAAAAGUCAAGCCAGGUGGCAGUUUUGAAAGGUCAAGUAAUAAUGUUCUUGAUAUAAAACAAACUAAAGCGUGCUUCACGUCUUCAAAUAAAACAAAGUUAAGCCUAGUAAUCUAUUCUCUGUUGUAAUGUGAACUUGAUUAUGUAAUUUCUACUACAUGCACUUAUGGACAUAACCAUUUAUCAAUUAUAAUAAUGUCAUCGACUAGGACUGAACAGCGACGGCUGAAGGCCCAGCUCAUUCUUAAUCUUAGGCAACACAUGUGCUGGGUUUCAUUUCAUAAAUUCAUAACCAAACCAAGCUAGGUCAUAGAAGGAAGCAAAUUAAGCAAUUGAAAUCCACAUCGGCUGAAAAAAUCUCUCUUGAAAAACCAUAUAAUUGGAGGGUCUGCAAAACUAGACUGUGUGUACGUAGCCAACUUUAUUAAAAUGCCAAUUCAAGUCCUAUGAACACACAUUUCCUUGAAAGUUGCUGGCCAAAUUUUCUUUGUUUUGGUUUUCAAUGAGUUCGAUUUCCUUGAGCAUCACUGAAAAGAUAUUAUAUAUGUGAAAUCUUUUUGUCAGUCUUUGAAUUUACCCAAUGUGGGUGAUCAAUUUUUAUGAUUGCAUUCUAGACUUCUCCUUAGUACAAAACAAAACUACGUGAUUGAUUGAAACGUCAUUAAUUAAUUUAGACAUAUAGGCAUUUGCAUUAAUUCAUUCUAGAUAGUAGAUACACAUCUCCAUAACGCAGAAAGAAUUAGCAUGUCCUUAAUGUGAACUUCGUUAAUAAAUUGAAGAGGAGUUGGAGAACAGUUAGAUGAAUGAAUUAAAGAGGAGUUGGAGAGACGCGGAUGCAAGGGCACACUAAGAAAACUACAGGGUUUAUUUAUAGUUUUAGUGCUAAUAAUGGGUAUAUGACUAAAUAUCUCUAUAAAAAAAAUUAGUGAAUUUAAUCAGAAUGUAAUGACUUAUAGAAUUUUACCUUGGGGCACUUUAAGUCCGUUCCUCCUUAAUAAAGCAUCACUUAAUAGAUUUGAAUUAUGAGCUGAACCCUCCCACCCGCUAAAAACGUAAAUGAAUUCUAAAUCAAAGUUACAAGCUACUGAAACCAUUUAUCAAUUAUAAUUAUGUCAUUAAUUAGGAUUGAACAAUAUGAUUGUAAUGCCAUUUCUAAAGCGUGCUUCACGUCUUCAAAUAAAACAAAGUUAGGCCUAGUAUUUUCUUCUUUAUUGUUUCGGUGCUUAAUGUGAACUUCAUUAUGUAACUUCUAUUACUUGUACUUAAGGGCCAUAGCCAUUUAUCAAAUUAUAAUGAUGUCAUUAAUUAGGAUUGAACAACAAGGUCGUUGAGAUGUUUACAUACUUUAAUUACAGACAUAUGAUAAGUUUAGGAGAGUGAUAUGUAGUUUCAAUUAUUCCUUUCACACAUACCCUAAACUUUAAACCCUAAACCCCUUUCUCUUAAGCAAAAUCUAUCGGUUUUGGGUAAGUUUGAGACACUUGUGGACGAUUGUUUUUAAUUUGGACCCUAUGAAAAUACCUGUAGGAUGUCUAUAUAAAUACCUAGAGAAGGUUAAAUAGGCUAAUUCGAUUUUUGCAAUGAAUAAUAAUCAACUUUUGAAGUAGGAUUGAUAUGAGUUAUCAAUCCUGAAAUGUGCAGAGCUUAAAAUAAAAGAACACACAGAUAUUUAUUUUACGUGGUAAAACCCCACAUCUGGGGAAAAUCCACGGGACUCCUUAGUCCAGAACGAAUCCACUAUAGAAUUGAGAUUACAAGAAGUUCUCACACACACUUAUCCUAGACUCAAUGUUUACCGACUUAUUCAUAAUGUUUACCGACUUAUUCAUAACUCAACUUUUGUCAUGGGAUGAUCUUCGACACUCCUUAUGUUGAACGCAAUAUUGGUCACGAUUGCUUCAAGCUCACCGGAGGAUAAACGCCACAAACGUCUUGAUGCCCUUGACCGUAUGAGCCACUGACAUGCAUAUGUAUGCAAUAUGAAUGAUGAAUGAGUUUGAUAAAUCACCAAGCAACCAGGAGCCCUUGAUGACUUACCGAGAAAAAUAAGUACAGUAGCUUUUCCAAAAAACAGAUUCAAUAUGCUCUCAAAAUCAAUGCGUUGAAAUGCUACACUAUGAAAAGAAGACACCUUGGUUUUAUUCAAAACAGGUUCUCUCAGUCAAGAGAAACCUACUUGACCACCAAUCCAAUUCACGAAAGACUUUCAACCUUAUUCAACUACCACACAACAAAACCUGAUGCAAUAUGGACACUAGUUAAACAUGUCAAACAGGAGACCACUCAUACUGUUCAAGCAUGAAUGUUUCUUUUGAUUCAAUUUACAUGCUAUGUGAUGAUGCCAGCUAAUGCACGAUGUGAGGAAACCUCAUGACUUUCUACUACAGCCAAUCCUUUAAAACAAUAUCUACCUAACAAAUUAAUUAGACCGAUCAAGUAGGAAAUAAUAUCAAGAGAUAAAAUAUAAUCUUAUUGAAAAUAGGAUUAACAUAAAAAUACUUGAGUGAAAAUAAUUUCAAUUAGGAGUCCUAUAAUGAAUGCAUGAUUAUGUUAUGAUUUACCUGUUGUCAAGUUUCUCAUAUGGUCAGGUCAUGCCUCGGAAGUAUAGGGUUGAGAGAGUUGUGCCAAAGCGUCCAGUAACAAUUCCUCACAAACUAAUUUUCAACUUAUGCUAAAGUCUAGGAAAUGCCAAUACGAUUUUCGUACUAACACCCUACAAACAAAUAAAUUAAAGAAAAAAAAGUAAAAGAAGAAAAGAAUAUAAAUUCAUAUAUCUCAAUUUCUUGUGUGAAGCUUUUAAAUUCAUUUCAAAACUAAAAUUAAAAUUUAUUUGUUUUGGUUUUCAAUAAGAUUAAGUUGGAUUUCCUAAAGCAUCAUCACUGAUCUGAUGGCAUCAGAUAAGUCUUUGAAUUACCUAAUGUGAUUGAUUGAUUGGAAUGUAUCCUUAAUACUAAAAAAAAACCAUGUGAUCGACACGUCAUUGAGCACUUCCACUCUAUCGGCAAGGGCAAGGCAAGAGCAAGAGUUUAGGAUAAGAUUUUUAGUUGCCACUUGUCCAUAUUUAUUAUAACAUUCACAUCUCAAAUUUCAUAUAAAAUUUUCGAAUAAGAUUUUCGAUUGCCACGUAUCCAUAUUUAUUAUAAAAUUCACAUUUCACUCAUCAUACAAUUGAAAUACUUGUUCACUCAUCAUACAAUUGAAGAUAUCAAGAAAUUUCGAAAAUUGGGCAUCCACUUUGUUUUUUCGAAGACGUUGAGGGAACGGAAUUGGCGGUACAUAUGGCUUUACAAGGGCAGCAGGUUGAGAUAAUUUCUCUACAGUAGCAGGUUCAAUUUCUGGAGAAAUUUCAUCAAGUUGUGCAGUAGUUCCAGCAGUAAUAGACGACGACGACGGCACGUUAGUAAUUUCUGAUGUCUCUGCAGUUUGUUGAUGGAUAUUCUUUUCUUCAUCCAAGUCUACUGCUGUUUUUAUUGGCCUCCCAUUCCAAAGAGUUAUCGCCCUCGCAUGUUCUUGGUUUUUCGGAUUAUUCUCUGUUUGGCUUGGCAAAGCUCCAUUUACUCUUCCUGUCAAUACAUUAGCUAGCUGGCCCAUCUGAACCUCCAAGUUUCGAAUAGAGGCAGCUUGGUUCUGAAGGGUCGUCUCGGUUUUGCUCAUAAAUUGAUUUGUAUUGACAGAGAGAGUGUUGACAUUUCCAGCAAGUUGAGUAAUUAUAUCCUCCAAUCCAUGCUUCUUUUCUUGAGGUGUGAAAUCAGGUGGAGGUCCCUGUACAUUUUGGUUAUUACUCCAUGGAAAAUUCGGAUGGUUCUUCCAUCCUGGGUUAUAAGUGUUGGAGUAAGGAUUAUUCCGUUGUCGAUUAAAAUUAGAGACUUGGUUCACUUGUUCAGAUGGUGAUGUGAAUGGACUAGCUCCACACUCAUUGCCAUGAUGAGGUCCUGCACAAAAUUCACAACUUAAAUUAGUAUACUGAAUAGCAUUAACAUUUAUAGUACCAAGUUGUUUAGACAUAGUAGAAAUUUGCGCAGUUAACGCAGAUAUGGCGUCAAUCUCAUGAAUUCCAGCUUUCUUUGGUGUUGAUCUCUCACUAGGCCAUUGAUAGUUAUUUGACGCCAUCUCUUCCAGCAAGUUAUACGCUUUAGUUUCUGUUUUUCCCAUCAAAGCUCCUCCGGCUGCAGCAUCAAUUGUUGUUUUGCUUGUAUUGUUCAAACCAUUGUAGAACGCUUGAACUUGCAUCCAAGUAGGUAGGGCAUGAUGUGGGCACUUCCUUAGCAUAUCCUUGUAUCUGUCCCAUGCUUCAUAAAAAGGUUCCAUGUCAUUCUGAGCAAAUGACAUGAUGUCAUUUCUGAGUUUCGCAGUCUUUGCAGGAGGAAAGAAUUUAGCUAAAAAUUUCUUGGCCAAGUCGUCCCAUGUAGUAAUCGAAUUAGGUGGUUGAGAAUUCAACCAUGACUUUGCCUUUUCCUUUAAUGAGAAAGGAAAAAGCCUUAAGCGAACAGCAUCAUUGGUAGCUCCAUUGCGCUUAAAUGUGUCACAUAUCUCCAAGAAAUUAGAGAUAUGCCUAUUAGGGUCUUCUUGAGGUAAACCACAAAAGAUGGAGGAUUGUUGAAUCAUUGAAAUUAUGGCUGGUCUGAUUUUAAAAUUAUUGGCAUCAAUGGUUGGACGACGAAUGCUCGAUGGUGAUGCCACCACAGAUGGGACAUCAUAGUCCCUUACUGGUUUUGCUUCCACAGCCAUAGGUGAUGGCUUUUCCAAUAUUGCGUCCUUGCCCCUUUUGAGUUUGUUAAGCUUGUGAAGUGUUCGCUCGAUCUCUAGAUCUAAUGGUACAAGCACAAGACUCUGCGAACGUCUCCCAAAACUCAUGCACUAGGUGAAGUACCUAAAAAAACAAAAAACAAAAUUCAAAUUAAAAUUCAAAUCAAUCUAUAUCGAUAUUAAUAAAAUUUAAAACACUCUCCGACGGCGGCGCCAAAAACUUGUUGUGAUAUUUAUUGCAAGCGCACAAUUCGCACAAGUAAUAUAGUGAUGAGUGAAGUGUCGUUCCCACGAAGAGUGAUUUAAUUUAACAAGUACCGAUUGUGAUUAACCCAAGACUUUAUUUGAACAAUUGAUGAUGAGAUUUGAUUGAUUAAUUAACUAAAACAAUGAAUAAAAACAAGCGUAGAAAAAUAAAGUAGUGAGAUUCAAGUUAUGAGAGCACUAGAGCUUCCGAUUUCACCAUAGCCAAUUCUACCCAAUUCCUUUAGCAUGUUAAUCCUAAUUAUUCUCUAUGUUGACAGUUGAUUUUCCCUACUUUAUUCGAUACUCCAUCCCUGGUUAUACCAAAAGUAUUCUUAUUACCAACCCACUCUAUCCCUAGUAAUGGAAUUAAGAUAAUAAGAACCCAUUAAAUUCCUUGGAAAACCUACAAAACAACCACAUAAGUCAUGACAAACAUCUCUGUCUAAUCAUGUAACUCAUGACAUCUAUUACAAGAAGCAACCCCAAAUUGGAUAUUCCUAUUUUCAAUUUAGCAUCAAAACAAUUAAAUGUUGGCCAAACAUUCAAAGCAUUAAGCAUGGUAAUAAAUACUCAACAUGGAAAAAAUACUUGGAAUUAACAUCGACUAAAGUAAUUGAGCAUUCAUGGCUAGGCUACAUCGUAGCCCUAGCAAGAAGAAAUUAGUUCAUGACAACUUUAAUAAAAACCAUGAUAAAUAGUAUCAUAGGAAAGAAGUAACCAAUUGAAGAUUUGAUCUCUGCACGACAGCAACUCUAGCUCCAGGUUGUCUUCUUUGUCUCUCUAAAACUCUCUCAACAAUAGAUGAUGGGUAGAUGAUGGAGGAUGGAUGAUGGGUAAUGGAUCCUUUCAACAAUGACCUAAACUCCCUAUUUAUAAAACUCCUAGAAAUCCUACCUAAAGAAUAAUUACAAUUGUUAUAAAAAUAGGAUUCCUUCUAAAAUAAGGUCUUCUUUAUUUCUCCUUGUUUAACUUGAUAAGACUUGCACCAUCUUGAACUAGGAAAUUUGACAACAUUCCUUGCAACAAAAGGAAUGACUUGGCUUCUUUUUUUAUUGAUUUUCAUCUCCUUGCCUUUUUUAGCACACUUUCUCCUAUUUCACAAUUCCUUCACAAAUCUCACAAAACUAAUUAAAAACAACCAAUUUAAUCCAAGAAAUUAAUAAAUAAAUAAGCAAAGGAGGCAUAAAAUAUAUAUAAAAUAUAGACUUAUCAAAUACCCCCAAACCUGUCUUUUGCUAGUCCUCGAGCAAAACUGAAAAUCAAAAAUAAAUUAAAACAAACAAACUAAAUUAAACCACUUUUGCAGGUAAUCUCGAUGGCACUUAGCAUGUGCCACAAGCCUUUAAACCUCUAGGUGCCCCUAGUAGGAGGAGUUGUGUCUCUUGAGGGUUUACCAGUCAUGACACCCACAGACACUUCUUGCAAAACAAAUUCGUUAAAGCAAUACUUCCAACAAACUAAUAAUAACCAAUGAAUGCUAAUCACAAUUCAAAAACUAAAGUUAUGCCACUACAAAUAAAAUGCACCAUAGUGUAAAGUGUAAAGUGUAAAGCCAAAAAUCCAACAUUGAAACAUAAAGAUAACCACAUUAGGCGUGUGUACAAAUUCGUCUCGACUCUAGGCCUUACUGGAUAACUCUCAAUUUUCUCACAGAACCUAGGGUUGCACUCUUACCCCGCAUAUGUGAAUAAAGUUAGGUGAAGAAUUCAAAAUAUAAGACACAUAUGCAUCCAAGAAUCAAUAAAAGGAAAUUUCUAACAAUAGAUCUCAUGGAAAGGAAAUCAAAUACUAAAAACCAUAGAUGAAGUACAUACCUCUACUUCCGAGUAAGAAGUCCCCAAAAAUCCGUUAGGUCUUUACUAUGGUUGUAAUGAAGGGCUAGGUUAUGGGUUAUGAAAGAAAAGGAAGGAAAUACUAGAACUUGAGACAUGCCAAGGCAUUUAUCACGUUAUAAGGCUCGGCUCUUCAAAUUUACUUCACAGAGGCGUCCAGGAUUUUUGAUAUGCUUCACAUUUUUUUUUCUUUAAUAGAUUUCUCUUUUUUUUUUUCCUUUCUUUUUAUUUAUUUAUUUAUUUUUAAGCACAUAUUUCCUCGGUACACGCCACCUCUUUUGUUAAUUUAGAGAUUAACCUUCAUCCUUGUCUUCAUGCCAUGGCAUAUCCCAAGUUAUAGGGUAUGGCUAAAAAUAGGGUGAAAAGGGUAAGAAAAUAUUGUGGGUGAUGAAAGAAAAGGCUAAGUGUUUGGCUUCAAAGGGUUGAUGGCACACACAAUGGGUAGGACAUGAGUUUUUAUUUAGUGGCUAGAACAUGCAUAGCCUAACAUCAUUUCUCAAGGUCCAUCCAACUCAAAAGUAAAAGCAUGAGAUGAUUCCAAAAUAGAGAGUAGUUCUUAGUAUUCAACUCAAAAGCCUAAUUGAGAUCAAUUUAAAUAAGAAAGAAAGAAAAUAGUGAAUAAGACUAAUCCCAAAUACUCUCUCAAUGAAUGGCAAUUUGGCUCAAGUAUCUCACAAUGGUAGUCUCCACUAUUUCUCCACAAUCAUCCAAGUAUAGCUAGCUUGUCUAUUAAAAUACUUGAAGCAUGGCCAUGUGAAGUGCUAUACUUAUGAUGCAUAAACUUUCAUGGCAACACUUUAGUUAAAGAAAUAUGAUCAAACAUCACAUAUACAUCACUAUUAGUAAGAGAAAGUAAAAGCUUUAACAAAUUUUUUUUUUUUUUUUAAAAAGUUAAAGGCAUUUUGUGAUUUUUUUCAAACAAAUGUGAGUGAAUUUAUGGGCCAUAAUUGCUUAGGGAUAAAGAAAUUUCAUCAAAAGGAAGAGGACACACCUGGAAUAGCUCCUAGAAACCUCUGAUCACAAAUGGAAUGGAUCAUAAUUGAUUUGGAAUGAAAUUAGAAAAUUCUGGAAAAUUGACCUUUAGCGACGAAAAAUCUGAUGAAACACCGUCGCUAAAAACCCUUUUGUGACGAAAAAUCUUCAUAUUCUGGGUAGGUAGCAGCUAGUCUUUUUUGGGUUUUAGGCCACUUUUUUAGCUUCAAAUCUCCCUAAAACGUCAUGUAAAGCACUUGAGACCCCCAAAACAGUUUCAAAUCAUCAUAAUAACCAUUCUAAACAUGUUGGUGGCUUCAAAUUUGCCUGAAAAACAUCAAAAAGGAAAAUAUGUAAAAUUUUUAAUUUUGACCAAAAUAAGAACAUAAUAACCUAUUUUGCUAUUUUCUGGGUUUUAAAGUCAUCUAAUGGCCAAAACAACAUCUGGAACAUGUUUGCAAUCAUCACGGGGCUAGAAAAAAUCGAGAAAUGUUCUUUGAAACACAAAAUCCUUUCUUUGGAACACAAAAUCUUUUUUUCUUUUUUUUUUCUUUAUGACUCAAAACUCAAACAAAAAACAACUAAACUCCACACCCCCAAAUCUAAAUUAAGCAUUGUCCUCAAUGUUUAAAGUAAAUGCAUGUAAAAAUUAGUAAAGGCAUAGAAGGAUGGAAAAUAAAGGGAAAACAAAACAAAAUAAAAUAAAAAGGAACGAAGGUACCUAGUUGGGUUGCCUCCCAACAAGCGCUUGAUUUAUAGUCCCCAGCCCGACUUGCGAGGUCAUCACUUUGGAUCAUGUAGAGGAAUGAAAGUUCGCUGUUGAUCAAAAUUGACUUCCAAGUAUGGCUUCACUCAUUGGCCAUUUACUUUGAAAAUAGUACCUUGUUCGUCAUGCCUAACCUCAAUAACUCCAGAAGGAAAUACUUGCACUAUUGUAAAUGGUCCAGACCAACGUGAUUUCAACUUCCCGGGAAAGAGUCGGAGGCGGGAAUUAAAUAGGAGAACUUUCUAACCAGCGAAGAAAUCCUUCCUUAGAAUAUGCUUAUCAUGCCAUUUCUUUGUACGCUCCUUGUAUAUCUUGGAAGUCUCAUAAGCUUCAUUACAAAACUCAUCCAUAUCAUUCAAUUGAAUUGCCCGUUUUUCUCCUGCUGCAAUCAUGUCAAAAUUGAGUGUUUGGAGUGCCCAAUGUGCCUUAUGUUCGAGCUCAACCGGUAAGUGACAAGCUUUCCCAAAAACUAGACGAUAAGGAGACAUGCCAAUUGGUGUUUUGAACUCCGUUCGAUAGGCACAUAAGGCAUCAUCCAAUUUCAGUGACCAAUCCUUUCUUGAAGCACUCACCGUCUUUUCCAAAAUUCGUUUUAAUUCUCUAUUGGAAACUUCAACUUGUCCACUAGUUUGUGGAUGAUAGGGAGUAGUAACCUUGUGGGUAAUACCAUAUUUAGCUAAAAGAUAAUUAAAUUGACGAUUGCAAAAGUGUGUACCUCUGUCACUGAUGAUGCCACGCGGAGUCCCGAAUCUGGUGAAAAUAUUUUUUUGGACAAAUUUGACAACCACCUUGGCGUCAUUGGUAGGGAGAGCGACGGCUUCAACCCAUUUCGACACAUAAUCAACAGCCACCAAUAUGUACUUGUUCUUCCAAGAUUCAGGGAAAGGUCCCAUGAAAUCUAUUCCCCAGACAUCGAACAAUUCAACCUCUAGAAUAUUAUUCAAUGGCAUCUGAUUUCUGCUAGAAAUAUUUUCAGUGCGUUGGCAUCGAUCACAGGCAGCUACAAAUGCAUAGGCAUCCUUGAACAAAGUUGGCCAAAAAAAUCCAGAUUGUAAUACCUUGGCUGCUGUUUUGGAGGCACCAAAAUGCCCCCCACAUGCCAAUGUGUGGCAAUGUCGCAAUAUGUCUUCCAUCUCCUCCUCAGGCACACAUCUCCGUAUAACUUGGUCAGGGCAAUGUUUCCACAAAUAUGGGUCGUCCCAAUAAUAAUGUUUAACCAAGGAGAAAAACUUCUUCUUCUGAUGAAACGAUAAAUCAGCUGGAAUGAUAGUACUAGCUAAAUAAUUCACAAAGUCAGCGUACCAAGGAGCUUCGGAUGAUCGAAUGGCAUACAAGUGUUCAUCAGGGAACAUCUCCAUAAUGGGUGCAGCAUCAUCACUCAUCUUUACCUCACUGACCAGCCGCGAAAGAUGGUCAGCUACCACGUUUUCGGACCCCUUUUUGUCUCGAAUUUCAAGAUCAAAUUCUUGGAGCAGUAGUACCCAGCGAAUUAAUCGUGGUUUUGCAUCUUUCUUCGAAAGUAAAUACUUUUAUCCAAGGAGAAGAUUACUACUAACAAUUCUUUCUCCGUGGUGGUAUAAUUCCGCUGGGCGUCAUUCAAAGUACGACUGGCAUAAUAAAUUACAUGAAGUAAUUUAUUUCUUCUUUGACCCAAAACUGCCCCUACCGCAUAGUCACUAGCAUCACACAUAAUCUCAAAAGGCAAGUCCUAAUCCGGUGCGACAAUGACAGGUGCAGAAGUAAGCUUCUCUUUCAAGACAUUAAAAUUAAAUUCUACAUCUUUAAGAAGGAGAUUGCAUAAGGGCUUCGUGAUUUUGGAAAAAUCUUGGAUAAACCGCCGAUAAAAUCCAGCAUGACCCAGAAAGCUUUGAAUCCCCUUUAUUGUAGUGGGCGGUGGCAAUUUCUCUACGGUAUCAAUUUUUGCCUUAUCAACCUCUAUGCCUUUAGCUGAAAUUUUAUGCCCUAGGACUAUCCCUUCUUGCACCAUAAAAUGGCAUUUCUCCCAAUUCAAAACCAAAUUGGUUUCUUCACAUCUUUUCAAAACUAAUGCCAAAUUAUGUAAACAAGAAUCAAAUGAUGAGCCAAAAACAGAAAAGUCAUCCAUAAAAACCUCAAUGAAGCGCUCCACCAUGUCCGAAAAGAUGCUCAUCAUGCAACGUUGAAAGGUGGCAGGGGCGUUACACAACCUGAAAGGCAUGCGCCUGUAUGCAAAAGUGCCGAAUGGGCAUGUGAACGUCGUCUUUUCUUGAUCUUCAGGUGCAAUUGGAAUUUGAUUAUACCCAGAAUAUCCAUCUAAAAAACAAUAAUAUGAAUGCUCAGCAAGUCUUUCCAACAUCUGAUCAAUGAAAGACAAGGGAAAGUGAUCUUUCCUUGUCGCAGUGUUCAAUUUCCUGUAGUCUAUGCAGACAUGCCAUCCUGUAGUUGUUCUUGUCGGGAUCAACUCAUUCUUAUCAUUUUUCACCACUGUAAUACCCCCUUUUUUCGGUAGGACUUGAACUGGACUCACCCAACUACUAUCUGAAAUCGGGUAAAUUAUUCCAGCAUCUAAUAACUUUAAUAUUUCAGCUCGCACAACUUCUUUCAUAUUCGGAUUUAAUCGACGCUGAUGCUCAACUGAAGGUUUAAAAUCAUCUUCCAUCAGAAUACGGUGCAUACACAUGGAACGGCUAAGUCCCUUAAUAUCUGCAAUAGUCCACCCUAUUGUCGUUUUAUGCUCCCUCAAAACUCAUAGUAAUUUAUCUUCUUCUAGUUUACUCAAAUUUGCAGCAAUAAUCACAGGAAGAGUUUCAAAAUUACCCAAGUAUGCAUAUCUUAAGUGGGAAGGUAGGGGCUUCAAUGUGAGGGUUGGUGCAGUAAUGACACUGGGUUGUGGCUUGGAGGUUGUGACGCUAAGCUCCUCAAAUUCGCGCCACCUUCCAGGGGGGCGCGGUUUCAUUGCUUCCAAAAAGUACACCAUCUCAGAAAUUUUAGGAUCCUCAUGCUCAGUAGUAACGGAAUGCACAAGGCAAGCCUUCAAUGGAUCAUAUGGAUGUUCUUCUUUAAAUUUUUCAGAGACAACUUUUUCCACUAUAUCCACUCGGAAGCAAGAGUCUGAUUCCACUGGGUACUUUGUUGCUUCAAAGACAUUGAAGGUCACCUGCUCAUCAGCCACUCGCAAAAUUAAUAAACCUUUGUCCACAUCAAUUAAUGUCUUCCCGGUUUUUAGAAAGGGGCGGCCUAAGAUAAUAGGGGUUUCGGCAUCUUCUUCCAUGUCUAAAAUCAAAAAAUCUGCUGGAAAAAUGAGCUUAUCAACUUUGACUAACACAUCCUCAAUUAUGCCUUUGGGAUAUGUUAUGGACCUGUCCCCCAUCUGCAAAGAAACAGUGGUUGGGUGAAUUACCCCCAACCCAAUAUGUUUAGCAAUAGAAGAAGGCAUUAGAUUAAUACUGGAUCCUAAAUCACAUAAAGCUUUUUCAAAGUAAGUGGUUCCAAUAGUGCAAGGUAUAGUAAAACUCCCUGGAUCCUUUAGCUUAGGUGGUAGCUUCCUCUGCAAAAUAGCACUGCAUUCUUCGGAUAAUUUCACUAUCUCAUGUUCGCCCAAUUUCCUCUUCUUUGAUAUAAUAUCCUUCAUGAAUUUGGCAUAACUCGGCAUUUGCUCCAAAGCAUCGGCAAAAGGAAUAUUUAUUUGUAAUUUCUUGAAGAUAUCAAGAAAUUUCAAAAAUUGGGCAUCCACUUUGUUUUUUCGAAGACGUUGAGGGAACGGGAUUGGCGGUACAUAUGGCUUUACAAGGGCAGCAGGUUGAGAUAAUUUCUCUACAGUAGCAAGUUCAAUUUCUGGAGACAUUUCAUCAAGUUGUGCAGUAGUUCCAGUAGUGAUAGACGACGACGACGGCACGUUAGUAAUUUCUGAUGUCUCUGCAGUUUGUUGAUGGAUAUUAUUUUCUUCAUCCAAGUCUACUGCUGUUUUUAUUGGCCUCCCAUUCCGAAGAGUUAUCGCCUCCGCAUGUUCUUAGUUUUUUGGAUUAAUCUCUGUUUGGCUUGGCAAAGCUCCAUUUACUCUUCCUGUCAAUACAUUAGCUAGCUGGCCCAUCUAAACCUCCAAGUUUCGAAUAGAGGCAGCUUGGUUCUGAAGGGUCGUCUCGGUUUUGCUCAUAAAUUGAUUUGUAUUGACAGAGAGAGUGUUGACAUUUCCAGCAAGUUGAGUUAUUAUAUCCUCCAAUCCAUGCUUCUUUUCUUGAGGUGUGAAACCAGGUGGAGGUCCCUGUACAUUUUGGUUAUUACUCCAUGAAAAAUUCGGAUGGUUCUUCCAUCCUGGGUUAUAAGUGUUGGAGUAAGGAUUAUUCCGUUGUCGAUUAAAAUCAGAGACUUGAUUCACUUGUUCAGAUGUUGAUGUGAAUGGACUAGCUCCACACUCGUUGCCAUGAUGAGGUCCUGCACAAAAUUCACAACUUAAAUUAGUAGACUGAAUAGCAUUAACAUUUAAAAUACCAAGUUGUUUAGACAUAGUAGAAAUUUGUGCAGUUAACGCAGAUAUGGCGUCAAUCUCAUGAAUUCCAGCUUUCUUUGGUGUUGAUCUCUCACUAGGCCAUUGAUAGUUAUCUGACGCCAUCUCUUCCAGCAAGUUAUACGCUUUAGUUUCUGUUCUUCCCAUCAAAGCUCCUCCGGCUGCAGCAUCAAUUGUUGUUUUGCUUGUAUUGUUCAAACCAUUGUAGAACGCUUGAACUUGCAUCCAAGUAGGUAGGGCAUGAUGUGGGCACUUCCUUAGCAUAUCCUUGUAUCUGUCCCAUGCUUCAUAAAAAGGUUCCAUGUCAUUCUGAGCAAAUGACAUGAUGUCAUUCCUGAGUUUCGCAGUCUUUGCAAGAGGAAAGAAUUUAGCUAAAAAUUUAUUGGCCAAGUCGUCCUAUGUAGUAAUCGAAUUAGGUGGUUGAGAAUUCAACCACGACUUUGCCUUUUCCUUUAAUGAGAAAGGAAAAAGCCUUAAGCGAACAACAUCAUUGGUAGCUCCAUUGCACUUAAAUAUGUCACAUAUCUCCAAGAAAUUAGAGAUAUGGCUAUUAGGGUCUUCUUGAGGUAAACCACAAAAGAUGGAGGAUUGCUGAAUCAUUGAAAUUAUGGCUGGUUUGAUUUCAAAAUUAUUGGCAUCAAUGGUUGGACGACGAAUGCUCGAUGGUGAUGCCACCACAGAUGAGACAUCAUAGUCCCUUACUGGUUUUGCUUCCUCAGCCAUAGGUGAUGGCUUUUCCAAUAUUGCGUCCUUGCCCCUUUUGAGUUUGUUAAGCUUGUGAAGCGUUCGCUCGAUCUCUAGAUCUAAUGGUACAAGCACAAGACUCUGCGAACGUCUCCCAAAACUCAUGCACUAGGUGAAGUACCUAAAAAAACAAAAAACAAAAUUCAAAUUAAAAAAAUUCAAAUUAAAAUCCAAAUCAAUCUAUAUCGAUAUUAAUAAAAUUUAAAACACUCCCCGACGGGGGUGCCAAAAACUUGUUGUGAUAUUUAUUGCAAGCGCACAAUUCGCACAAGUAAUAUAGUGAUGACUGAAGUGUCGUUCCCACGAAGAGUGAUUUAAUUUACCAAGUACCGAUUGUGAUUAACCCAAGACUUUAUUUGAACAAUUGAUGAUGAGAUUUGAUUGAUUAAUUAACUAAAACAAUGAAUAAAAACAAGCGUAGAAAAAUAAAGUAGUGAGAUUCAAGUUAUGAGAGCACUAGAGCUUCCGAUUUCACCAUAGCCAAUUCUACCCAAUUCCCUUAGCAUGUUAAUCCUAAUUAUUCUCUAUGUUGACAGUUGAUUUUCCCUACUUUAUUCGAUACUCCAUCCCUGGUUAUAUCAAAAGUAUUCUCAUUACCAACCCACUCUAUCCAUAGUAAUGGAAUUAAGAUAAUAAGAACCCAUUAAAUUCCUUGGAAAACCUACAAAACAACCACAUAAGUCAUGACAAACAUCCCUGUCUAAUCAUGUAACUCAUGGCAUCUAUUACAAGAAGCAACCCCAAAUUGGAUAUUCCUAUCGUCAAUUUAGCAUCAAAACAAUUAAAUGUUGGCCAAACAUUCAAAGCAUUAAGCAUGGUAAUAAAUACUCAAGAUGGAAAAAAUACUUGGAAUUAACAUCGACUAAAGUAAUUGAGUAUUCAUGGCUAGGCUACAUCGUAGCCCUAGCAAGAAGAAAUUAGUUCAUGACAACUUUAAUAAAAACCAUGAUAAAUAGUAUCAUAGGAAAGAAGUAACCAAUUGAAGAUUUGAUCUCUGCACGACAGCAACUCUAGCUCCAGGUUGUCUUCUUUGUCUCUCUAAAACUCUCUCAACAAUAGAUGAUGGGUAGAUGAUGGAGGAUGGAUGAUGGGUAAUGGAUCCUUUCAACAAUGACCUAAACUCCCUAUUUAUAAAACUCCUAGAAAUCCUACCUAAGGAAUAAUUACAAUUGUUAUAAAAAUAGGAUUCCUUCUAAAAUAAGGUCUUCUUUAUUUCUUCUUGUUUGACUUGAUAAGACUUGCACCAUCUUGAACUAGGAAAUUUGACAACAUUCCUUGCAACAAAAGGAAUGACUUGGCUUCUUUUUAAUUGAUCUUCAUCUCCUUGCCUUUUUUAGCACAUUUUCUCCUAUUUCACAAUUCCUUCACAAAUCUCACAAAACCAAUUAAAAACAACCAAUUUAAUCUAAAAAAUUAAUAAAUAAAUAAACAAAGGAGGCAUAAAAUAUAUAUAUAUAAAAUAUAGACUUAUCACUAUAUAUAUAUUCUUUACAAAAAUUUAAAGCUCCUUAAAGCCCAUAGAAACCGGUAAAGUCACAGUUUUUUUGACUUUUGAAUAUGGGCAAUACACGAGAAGAUGGACAGUAUUUUGAUAACUCUGUUUAGACUAAAAGCUAAGGACUGUCUAUUAACAAAUAAUUCCAACAUGCAACCUUUUUAAUUAGUCUACUUCCUGAUUGCAGAUGGGGAAGAACUCCACUUAAUGAAGCCCGCAUAGGUGGAAAUAAGAAACUAAUCAAACUGUUUGAAGUUGCUAGAACUUUGUAGUUGUCAGAGUUAUCUAAUCAAUAUCAUCAAGAAAUUAGCUAGCUAAGCAUUUCUCUGAUCAAAAUGAUAAAUUGUCGAUCGGCAAUACAUUUAUCCUUUGAUUAAAUGAUAAAUGUUUAUAAGACUUGGAACAAAAGUUCUGAGAUGUUAUAUGUGUGAAUUUUGUUAGAAUCUUUAAUUCUCUUUUCGAUUUUCUAAUAUGCGUACCUUGGAAAAUAUGAAUUGAACUAUUAUUAUUGUUGAUCUGACUUGGCAAUUCUCAGCGUCAAUUAUUCUUACUAGGCUUGUAAUAAUCAAGGAUCGAGUAAUUAAUUAAUUAAAGCUCUUGAAUCAUGGAAGUAAUGCAUGAAUGCAUCAAGUAAUCCGGAUCAGAAUAGUAAAACCAAAGAAGCACAACUUUUAUUCCCGCAGAUAGUCUUAGCCUAGGUUACAUAAAUUAAUGCAUGAAUGCAUGAGCAGCAGCUGCAUGCAAUAUUAUUGAACCCAAAUCACAACAAAAGGAAAACUUAAGACAAUGCCACUUUCGCAGGGAACGCGAUUGCAUUUAGCGUAUGCAACAAGCCUUUUAAACCUAUAGGUGACCCUGAUAGGACGAGUGAAGUCUCGUGAGGGUUUCCAGUGACGCUACCCACAAACAUCGUAUUAACUUAACAGGAUGAUCAUCCUGGAAGUUUUUCGACAAUGAAGAAAUGUUCAUGGGUGGGGCCUCCAGGUUCUGCAAUGAGGGCAUUUUCGAACUCGUUUCCAGAUUUUGGCUUUAAAAGGUUUCCCAUUUUCUCAUGGUGGAACUUGUAUAUGCCUUCGGUGUACGGUCCUGGUGGUUUCACAACCUCAGGCUUGAAGAGUGUACAUGACCACAGCGUUUUAUUUGGCUGUUUCUCGUCAGCCCCGGCCACAAUCCACGAACUGUCUUGGCUUGCCGUUAUCCAGUAUUUGUCGUUGUAGGUGGAUUUUAUAUGCACCAGACUGGGGAGGUUUACGUCCUUCUCCACUUUGAACCUUGCGUAUUUGCUCUGAACAUCCUCUCCGGAGCAUUGGAGAAUAUCUUGCAUCUUUUCGGUGGCUUGGUCUUUGUAGACCAAGUAUUUACCGCUCGUGAAUGAUUUAAGAGCAAUGAACUUUGGUAAUUCUGCCAUUUCUGAUGAUCUCUCGCUCGCGCUUCAAUUUUUUUUUAUGUAAACUCACUUCUCUCUCUCUCUCUCGUUGCUUAUUGCUUUUCCUAACUCCAACCUGCUGUGCUAUUUAUAAUCAAGCAAACCCAAACCCUGCAUGCAGCUCUGGCUUCUUUUUCUUGCUGUACUGGCCCGCGAUAAGAAAAUUGAAGCCACAAAAAAAAAAAGUCGAGCCAGGUGGCAGUUUUGAAAGGUCAAGUAAUAUUGUUCUUGAUAUAAAACAAACUAAAGCGUGCUCCACGUCUUCAAAUAAAACAAAGUUAAGGCUAGUAAUUAUCGACAUCGAUAUUUUGCGAUAUUAUCGUCGAUAUUGUCAAUAUUUAUACGAUAUGUACAUGGAUAUGUUUCGAAAUAUCCGUGAUUCAAAAAAACCGAAAUAUCCUCGAUAUUUCCUCGAUAUUAUCGAUAUUUCAGACUAUGAUGUGAACUUGAUUAUGUAAUUUCUACUACAUGCACUUAUGGGACAUAACCAUUUAUCAAUUAUAAUAAUGUCACAUAAAAAUUGAAGCCACAAAAAAAAAAAAGUCAAGCCAGGUGGCAGUUUUGAAAGGUCAAGUAAUAAUGUUCUUGAUAUAAAACAAACUAAAGCGUGCUUCACGUCUUCAAAUAAAACAAAGUUAAGCCUAGUAAUCUAUUCUCUGUUGUAAUGUGAACUUGAUUAUGUAAUUUCUACUACAUGCACUUAUGGACAUAACCAUUUAUCAAUUAUAAUAAUGUCAUCGACUAGGACUGAACAGCGACGGCUGAAGGCCCAGCUCAUUCUUAAUCUUAGGCAACACAUGUGCUGGGUUUCAUUUCAUAAAUUCAUAACCAAACCAAGCUAGGUCAUAGAAGGAAGCAAAUUAAGCAAUUGAAAUCCACAUCGGCUGAAAAAAUCUCUCUUGAAAAACCAUAUAAUUGGAGGGUCUGCAAAACUAGACUGUGUGUACGUAGCCAACUUUAUUAAAAUGCCAAUUCAAGUCCUAUGAACACACAUUUCCUUGAAAGUUGCUGGCCAAAUUUUCUUUGUUUUGGUUUUCAAUGAGUUCGAUUUCCUUGAGCAUCACUGAAAAGAUAUUAUAUAUGUGAAAUCUUUUUGUCAGUCUUUGAAUUUACCCAAUGUGGGUGAUCAAUUUUUAUGAUUGCAUUCUAGACUUCUCCUUAGUACAAAACAAAACUACGUGAUUGAUUGAAACGUCAUUAAUUAAUUUAGACAUAUAGGCAUUUGCAUUAAUUCAUUCUAGAUAGUAGAUACACAUCUCCAUAACGCAGAAAGAAUUAGCAUGUCCUUAAUGUGAACUUCGUUAAUAAAUUGAAGAGGAGUUGGAGAACAGUUAGAUGAAUGAAUUAAAGAGGAGUUGGAGAGACGCGGAUGCAAGGGCACACUAAGAAAACUACAGGGUUUAUUUAUAGUUUUAGUGCUAAUAAUGGGUAUAUGACUAAAUAUCUCUAUAAAAAAAAUUAGUGAAUUUAAUCAGAAUGUAAUGACUUAUAGAAUUUUACCUUGGGGCACUUUAAGUCCGUUCCUCCUUAAUAAAGCAUCACUUAAUAGAUUUGAAUUAUGAGCUGAACCCUCCCACCCGCUAAAAACGUAAAUGAAUUCUAAAUCAAAGUUACAAGCUACUGAAACCAUUUAUCAAUUAUAAUUAUGUCAUUAAUUAGGAUUGAACAAUAUGAUUGUAAUGCCAUUUCUAAAGCGUGCUUCACGUCUUCAAAUAAAACAAAGUUAGGCCUAGUAUUUUCUUCUUUAUUGUUUCGGUGCUUAAUGUGAACUUCAUUAUGUAACUUCUAUUACUUGUACUUAAGGGCCAUAGCCAUUUAUCAAAUUAUAAUGAUGUCAUUAAUUAGGAUUGAACAACAAGGUCGUUGAGAUGUUUACAUACUUUAAUUACAGACAUAUGAUAAGUUUAGGAGAGUGAUAUGUAGUUUCAAUUAUUCCUUUCACACAUACCCUAAACUUUAAACCCUAAACCCCUUUCUCUUAAGCAAAAUCUAUCGGUUUUGGGUAAGUUUGAGACACUUGUGGACGAUUGUUUUUAAUUUGGACCCUAUGAAAAUACCUGUAGGAUGUCUAUAUAAAUACCUAGAGAAGGUUAAAUAGGCUAAUUCGAUUUUUGCAAUGAAUAAUAAUCAACUUUUGAAGUAGGAUUGAUAUGAGUUAUCAAUCCUGAAAUGUGCAGAGCUUAAAAUAAAAGAACACACAGAUAUUUAUUUUACGUGGUAAAACCCCACAUCUGGGGAAAAUCCACGGGACUCCUUAGUCCAGAACGAAUCCACUAUAGAAUUGAGAUUACAAGAAGUUCUCACACACACUUAUCCUAGACUCAAUCUAGAUAAUGUUUACCGACUUAUUCAUAACUCAACUUUUGUCAUGGGAUGAUCUUCGACACUCCUUAUGUUGAGCGCAAUAUUGGUCACGAUUGCUUCAAGCUCACCGGAGGAUAAACGCCACAAACGUCUUGAUGCCCUUGACCGUAUGAGUCACUGACAUGCAUAUGUAUGCAAUAUAAAUGAUGAAUGAGUUCGAUAAAUCACCAAGCAACCAGGAGCCCUUGAUGACUUACCGAGAAAAAUAAGUACAGUAGCUUUUCCAAAAAACAGAUUCAAUAUGCUCUCAAAAUCAAUGCGUUGAAAAGCUACACUAUGAAAAGAAGACACCUUGGUUUUAUUCAAAACAGGUUCUCUCACUCAAGAGAAACCUACGUGACCACCAAUCCAAUUCACGAAAGACUUUCAACCUUAUUCAACUACCACACAACAAAACCUGAUGCAAUAUGGACACUAGUUAAACAUGUCAAACAGGAGACCACUCAUACUGUUGAAGCAUGAAUGUUUCUUUUGAUUCAAUUUACAUGCUAUGUGAUGAUGCCAGCUAAUGCACGAUGUGAGGAAACCUCAUGACUUUCUACUACAGCCAAUCCUUUAAAACAAUAUCUACCUAACAAAUUAAUUAGACCGAUCAAGUAGGAAAUAAUAUCAAGAGAUAAAAUAUAAUCCUAUUGAAAAUAGGAUUAACAUAAAAAUACUUGAGUGAAAAUAAUUCCAACUAGGAGUCCUAUAAUGAAUGCAUAAUUAUGUUAUGAUUUACCUGUUGUCAAGUUUCUCAUAUGGUCAGGUCAUGCCUCGGAAGUAUAGGGUUGAGAGAGUUGUGCCAAAGCGUCCAGUAACAUUUCCUCACAAACUAAUUUUCAACUUAUGCUAAAGUCUAGGAAAUGCCAAUACGAUUUUCGUACUAACACCCUACAAACAAAUAAAUUAAAGAAAAAAAAAGUAAAAGAAGAAAAGAAUAUAAAUUCAUAUAUCUCAAUUUCUUGUGUGAAGCUUUUAAAUUCAUUUCAAAAUUAAUAUUAAAAUUUAUUUGUUUUGGUUUUCAAUAAGAUUAAGUUGGAUUUCCUAGAGCAUCAUCACUGAUCUGAUGGCAUCAGAUAAGUCUUUGAAUUACCUAAUGUGAUUGAUUGAUUGGAAUGUAUCCUUAAUACUAAAAAAAAACCAUGUGAUUGAUCGACACGUCAUUGAGCACUUCCACUCUAUCGGCAAGGGCAAGGCAAGAGCAAGAGUUUAGGAUAAGAUUUUUGGUUGCCACUUGUCCAUAUUUAUUAUAACAUUCACAUCUCAAAUUUCAUAUAAAAUUUUCGAAUAAGAUUUUCGAUUGCCACGUAUCCAUAUUUAUUAUAAAAUUCACAUUUCACUCAUCAUACAAUUGAAAUACUUGUUCACUCAUCAUACAAUUGAAAUACUCCUGGUCUUCAUAGUUCGACACAAUCGAGUACAAGGAUGACUCAAUCAUUGGAGGAGGAGAUUCCACCGGAUCACGACGUGGGGGAGUAUUUUCCUUCGAAGGAAGUAAUUGUGCCAUUAUUUUCGACACGGAAAGCACCACUAGAACCGACUACUGACAUUGUUCACUUAAGGAGCCAUGUGUAAUGGUUUUCCUCUUUUUUGUUUUGUCUUGAAUAAUGUAUUAAAAUACAAGAAAAUAUAUUUUUAAAAAUGAUAUUAAAUUGAAUAAAACGAUAAAUUUAUUUUUUUUACAUCGUCACCAAGAUUUUGACCGCUUUGAACGUUUGUCCACGACCAUCCGGUUUCGAUGGAAGAGGCCAUUUGUAUUUUUACACAAAUAAAAUUUUGUAGUAGAAAAUUUGGUGUGGAAAGUGAAAAAUAUUGGAAGGAGAUGAAUUUAUAUGAAGAUUUAGUGUGGAAAGUGAAUAAUAUUGGUAGGUAUUUAUGGAAAAAAAUUCUAGAAUUUUUUGAUAUUUUUUUUACAGCUUUUUUUAGCCAUAAAAUGGGCAACCGUUGAAUUGGAAGACAUUUUUGGAUCGGAGCCUUCAGGAGAAGCUAUGUGCUUGUAGCUGUUGGUUUCUGGCAGUGCUAAUUUUUUUAAAUUAUUGCGCUGACGUUAGCUGCAUGAAAGCAAUACAACGGGCCAGAUCUCCCCAUAGGUCCCACUCCUUACCCGAGCUGGGUCUUGCACGCUGGAACUGCCUUUCAAACCUAGAGCACCCUCCUACCUGGGCUAGCCCCUUGCCCUGGACUUGCUCUAAGACAGAAGAAUUAGCAUGUCCUUAUUAUGUAAACUUCAUUAAUAAAUUUCUACUUUGUACUUGUGGAGGCCCAUAGGAAUUUAUGAAUUAGGAUUGAGAAACAAAGGUUCAAGGGAUUGUUCCAGCUAAUCUUUACCAUAAUAAUAAUAAUAAUAAUUGUUCAGGCCGGCAGCUAAUAAUUAAGUUGGCAUUUUUUUAAGUUUUUUUUUGUCCGGCCAAUAAUAUUAUUUUGGGCCCAAAAUGAAGUAAAGGACUAAAUGUAAAUACAGAAUUGGAAUGUGCUUUUGGGCCUUUUAAGUGGCAUAGGUGGAUCAUAAUAUUGAAGUAGCCCAAACUGUUGAUUUUGGGCGAGUGAACCGGUUCCGAAACCAUGGCCGAUCCUCUCAGUCUUCUUUGCUUUAGCAACUUAUGCUUUGCUUGCUUGGUGAUUAAGCCUAACUAAGGCAAAGCGGCAGCCAGAGCAGCAUCAUUCAGAUUCAGAAGAAGUAGCAAGUAAUUAAGUAAGCUUCAGCCUCACAAACAAAUAUCAAAGCGAAGCAAUCGAAUUUGACAAAGAGAGAGAGAGAAACAGUGAGAGAUCGCGAAAUGGCGUUGCAGUGGAUGAUACUGACGUACGUGGUGGCAGCAGAGGCAGCCUUGGCCUUCCUCUUAACCCUUCCCGCGCCCAAGCUCUUGAAGAAUCAAUUCGUGUCGUUGGUCUCUCUCAUCCUCCAACCUGCCCUCUUUAUCGUUCCAUUCGCCGGCUUUCAGCUCCUUGGUUUGUUUCUUCUUCUUAUUUGAUUUUAUUUUAUUUUAUUCCUAGGGCAUACCAUACCAUAGCAACAAUCUAGCAUCGGAUUUUCCAUUUGAUCUUUUUUACCUGUUUGGGUAAUGGAUUACCAAUUGAUCUUUGACUUGCCUCUUUCUUACUUUCUCUUUUCUUUUAAAUUCUGUGUAGAUAUAUAUUGGAAGAAUGAGCACCGCCUGUCCUGCACCUCUGAGAUCUGCACCGCUGCUGAGCGUGACCGCUAUGAGAAAUCCGUCAGUUUCUAACUACUACUCUCUCUCUCUCUCUCUCGUUUUAAUUUCUUAUGUGAUUCUAAUCUUUAAUCAAGUUGAUGAUGCCUGCAACUCUUCAGCAUGCUAAAAUGAAUUUAUCAAAAAUGAAAUCAUAUAACAAAAGGAAAAUUACAUUUUGAGCAACAACUGAUGUCUCCAAUUUCCAUUCACUAUACUGUUUAACAAAUUUAUUAUAGAAUAACAGCAUUACAAAUUCAUAUUUAUUUUUCUCAAAAUCAUAAUGCCCAAUGACACGCAUACCUGUUUCUUAAUUUUGUCGUCUAAAAUUCUUGCAUAUUCGGCAUUGGAUUGUCUCGUUUCUUCGACUUUUCUUUAGGAUGGUAUCUUGAAUCUUGAAGUUUCUCAUAAUUAUUUCUGUCUUUAUGUAUUGAAAAUUUUCUGCUCUUUAUUAUCUUUAAGAUUUUCUUUGUUUUUGGGUAUUUGCGGAUGAGGGUGAAACAAGGAUUUGUGCUUGUGGAAAUAUUCUGGUAGGAUAUCAAUUGAGUGUAUUUGGAAUAUACUCUCUACUUUUGCGCUGUACAUUUCAUGAAAAACAUGAUAUGUGGUUCAGUUCUUAUAUGUUGCAAGUUGCAGCAUAUGUAGCUGUGGGAUGUCUAAUGAUUGCACAAUGAGCCCUCUGCCAAUCAAGAGAAAUGGAAGAUUCAAGUUCUAUCUACAUAUAUAUACCUUUAAAUUCUAUUAUUCUUGACACCUUUGUUGCGGAAAAUAUGUCAUGCAGAUCUACAAGGCUCAAAGGAAUGUAAUUCUUUGCGCUUCAGCAUGUCUGCUUUACUGGUAUGUUGGCUAGAGAUCAUCAAAUGACCUCAUCUUUUUGUUUUAUUUCUUUACAAGUUUAAGCAAAUAAAAAACUUGAAGGUCUUUACUAUAUUUCUGGUCAUUUGAUAGUAAUCUACAAAUGUUGGGCGCAGGUGUCUUGUUCGCAUAUGCAAAUAUUACAAGGACAUUCAGAAUUUGGAAGAAGUUGAGAAGAGGUGCAAGGAGGAGUAGCUUUUCCCAGAUAGGCUUUUGUUUGGGAGUAGAAACAACCGAGUUCAUAAAUUUUUUUUUCAUCAUAAAUGGGAAACCGAUGUGACUUCUAGUAAUAUUGUAGUGUCUUCACUUUGUGUGGUUAAUUUGUUAGUCAUCAUCUAGUAUGUGUUUCUUUCACCUUUUUCUCGUAGCAAGCUCAAAUAUACUUUUUGUUGUCAACUAUAUAUGAAAAGUAAGACAAUUAUUAUUACUGCUUAGAGAUUUGGCCAUGGCCGGUCUAUUUAUCCUUGAUUGAAUAUAUGAAUUCCAAUCUCCCUUGAUUUGUUGAGAAUCAAGGAUGGUUGCGUGCCAUGAAUUCCAAGCGUGAGUUGAGAUACUUAACCCAGCCUAGAAUGUGCGAGCCUUUACAUGGUCUUCAUUUCAUUGGCGUAUGUUUUGCUUCAAGUUUUGUUUAUACUUGAUCUUAGAUUCAUAGUCGUACAUACCAAAGAAUUCAAUAGUUGAAAUGAGGUCUUCCAUUGCGAUAGUCUUGAGUGACCGAGUCUAUAUCCAAAUUGGGAAUUUAGUCAUCUGUUUACGUACGUAUGGCUCAGCUUUUCAAAUUCUCCAGUAUUGGGAAUGAUUUGGUAUGAAUUGCAGCGUAAACUUGGUUUCACAUACGCCUGCAUUGAUCACCCAGCCCGUCUCCAUCUGAACACCCCGAUGGAGGGGGGUUUAGUAUUUGCAGUAAGAUUUGAUCCACAUUGACCCAUCAUUCACACGCUUUCAGUUCACGACAAUUGCCCUUCAAAUUUCUAAAGAAUAAUAAUGCAUUAAUUCAGGCAUGAUAAUCAACGCACACAUCUGAUUCUCGAACAAAAGCAUCAUCAAGUCAAGGAUAAGGCAAAUUUCUCAAGAGGGUAUUUGUAUGGGCUUAAGAAUAAAUUAAAUAAUGAAUCGAGUCAAGAACUAAGCACACAUUUUCUUUCUUUCUCGAAUUAUAGGGUUUUCUUUAACAUUUUUGGGAAGACUUAAGGGAUUAAAUAAAUAAAUAAAAUAGUCUUAAUAAUCGGAUUUUGCCAAGUGAGAUCAUGCCUCCAAACAAUGGAACUAACCCAAGUUUUGGGCUUGUAUUAUAUAAGCAGAAUAAGACUGCUCUCCUACUGUUUUCCCACUUCCCACAUGGAGGAGGGGCUAACUAGUUGAAAAGAUUGAAAACGAAAACACAUUCUAAAUGUGCAAUACUUUUGACAGCUUGUCGUUUGUUUUUGGGUUUUGGUAGGUAGCAUACUAGCAUCCAUGAAGUAGCCAUGUCCUUAUUAGACGAAUAAGUUUGGGACGUUUUGGUUAGUUUUUGAAGAGGUGCAUAAAAUGAGCUUGAGUCGGUACCAACAAGUUGACAAUCCCUCCUGAGUCCUAACCAAAAGGAUGUAUGUUGAAUGUUGAUUAUUAUUGCAUGAUGCAUGUGGAAUUUUAUUUUCUAAAGCAUGUUUGGAAUGGAACACACAUCAAUCCCAUCCAUCACUGCUUGAUGACUUAGAUUGAUAUAAGCUAUAAAAAUGUCAAGGGCCAAGCCAACUUGUUUGACAUCUCACGCGAACAAGCGUUCAUAUCAAAAUACCAUUUAAGCUUUAUCUAUAUACACAUUGAAAUCUCUUUAUUCAAACAGACAGACUGAAACAUGUGACAUCAUGUGAAAAGAAUGGAAUGGAAUGGAACCUCUGUUUUCACUUCCCUCUAUUCAUCUUGCAGUAUUGUAUUGUAUUACAAGUUACAACUUCAACUUUGGAGAACAAAUUAACUGAUGAAAUGAAAAUUUAAGAAUUAUCAGAAAGAAAAGAAUUCAUAAAUGUUUUCUCUGGACGAAGAUCAAAAUGACCUUCUAAUGUUCUUGAAAUCUACAGACUCAAUGCAUUCCAACCCAGCUCUGUAAGGAUUCAGGAGUUUCAAAAGCUCAGUUGUCUUCUCCUUUGUGUUGUCAUCACCGCAACGAACCUGUAAAACUAACAGGAGCUUCUGAAAUGUACCAACUUGAAGGGCCUCAACAAGAACUCUUUCUUCUUGACUGCUUGCACACUUGCACAGCUUCCAAAUAGCAGAAAUUGAAUACUCAGUCGCCAUUUCUGAUACCCUCAAAAUCUUCUUGACCAAGACAGGUAUAGUGAGAGCAUUAGCAUAGGCCUUUUCCCUCCCAUCUUGGAAAUCGCAAAGACUAUCCAAAACACCCAAAGCCCUCUCACAUAUGCCUCUUUCAGAGUCGACAAGAAUUUCCAACAAUAUGGAAACUAAACCCAUCUCCAGAAAUGCUGAUUUGAUCUUCUCACUAGAUUUAGAAGAAGAAGAAGAUGAUGAUGAUGAAACCAAGUAGAAGACCACCAUCAGUGAAGCCUUGGUAAUCGUCGGAGAAAUUUUCUCUCUGAUGAAGUCGAAAAGUACCUCAUUCACUCCACCAAUCUCCGCCAACGCAUCAACAUGUUUAUUCCGGUCAUGGCAAGCAAGAAGCUCUUUCAAUGCUAAAAUAGCAUUUUGCUUUACUGAAAGAUCAUCACUCAUCUUGAGAAACCAAACCAUGCCGUGCAACGAAGCCUGAGACCCCAAGUAUUUGUGGGCUUCCUCAUCGAAAGCUGGAAGCAUCCAACUCAGCGCAGACAAUAUCUCUUCACAAACGGUGGCAUUUCUCUUUAUGCAAUCACUUGCAAAAGAAUCAAAGGCACCAGCUAGAACAGAGGCCGUCCCAUUCUCCGAGAUGCACCGCUUGUUGCGUUCGCUCUCAGCUCCCCACUUCUUGAUUUUGUGCACACAUUCUAAGCAGCCAUGUUGAUCCAAACGUCUAGCAGAGGCUCCGAUGCUGAAAAGAAUCUCAGAGACCUCCAUUGGCAAGACAGGAAUUCUGGGUGUUGGGACACGUUCGAUGCCGUAGUGCUUGUUUUGAGUGCACCACUCUUGAAUCAUUCUUCUGAGACUAUGGUUGGGAAUCUGAUCAAAGUUUCUCAGCACCUGAUUUGUUACCGGGCAAGUGAAAUUCCCGGCUUCGAGCCACGUGUCAAUACUCUGUCUAUCGUAGGUUAUUCCGGAUGACAAUGUAACCGGAUCCUUCAUCAGGUCCAGCGAUAUUGGGCACAGGAAGUGGUUUGGGAUGAGGGCUUCCAUGUCUAGGUCCCGGGGCUGCUUUUUCUUGGUGCCGUGGCCUGUUCUCCUUCUUGUCCAGCCUAAAACCAUUGCUUGCUGAUUAGCUAGCACAGAUUAAGUUUUGAUCAGAAAAGCAGUGAGAGAAGUUGAUUCUUCUGUUUUUGUUGGUGGUGUUUUUUGUUUGUGAAAAAAUAGGAGGGGAGGUGAUGGGGUUUAUAUACUAAUAAUACUAUAUGUUGUUCCGGCCACAACUUUUCAGGUUUUCAUACACGCGGUGUUCAAAGAUGAGACCAUUUUGCAUAUGGAGAGAAAUGGGAAAGAAUUGAAUAAGUAAACAAAUUCAAGCAGAGGGUUUUAGGAAUAGUACAAUUUGAAUGUUGACCGUUGAAGCUUUGAAAGUUUUAAAAUUAACCGUCAAAAGCGGGGAAGUGGUAAAAGUAAGCUCUUCCUUCAUGGGCCUCAAAUGUACCAAAUAAACGAAUUAUGUUUUUAAAUUAUGAUGAGCUACUUUAAGUAUGGGGUUAUGUAUGAGGAUGAGGUUUUGACGCGUUGACCGAGAUUCUUUUCUUCUUCUUCUUCCGUUUUUUUUUUCUUAAUCUGAAAUUCUGAAUCAGAUAUGACGAACAAGACCGAUAUCUCAGCUGUUACAUUUUUUUCAUUUUUUCUUGUAAGUCUUUUUUUAAAAAUUUAUUUAUUUGAAAACGGAAAAUUACAAGCAAAGCAAAAACCACCAGAACACGCAGGCCCAAACAAAUCGAAGUAAAAAGAAGAGAACAUCAAUUUUUUCUUGUAAGUCUUCAUUGGUGUUUUUUUUAAUUUAUUUUUUUUCUUCGUAGUAUGUAGUAGGAGAAAAGGAAAAACAAAAAAGUCAGUCACCUCAACUUUGUAAGAACGAGUCCUAGGCUCCUCCUUAUCAGACUCUCUCAGCUGCAAAAGGUUUGACUUUGAAGGAGUCAUUGCCCAAAAUACCAUCCACCACAUGCAAAUUGCAAUACAAACUCCAAUGACAUUCAUUUGGCAAGCAAGUUUAAGUACACGCCCCAUUAAAACCCAGGAGGAUAAUUUGAAUAAAUCAAACAUUCUAACCUAAUAACCUUACAGGAGUUGCUUUUUAUUCAUGUUUGAAUGCUGUACAGACAAAAACUCCUGUCGAAAUGAGCUUAUUUUACAAAUCAAUUUUUAAUCAUGUACCUAAUCAGAAAAGAUUGUCAACCAAGCUCGAAAACAAAUCCAGCCUAAGUCGAAAACAAAUCCAUCCUAAGAAUAAAAGAAAGGAAAAGAAAGAAAGAAAAGAAAGAAUUGCAGCCUAACUGACUUCACUACCCAUCCUUCCAUCAGUUAAUCAAAUGGAAGCACAAGGCCUUCAAUCUUUCACUUCACAGUGCUGACUUGCCAGAGCAAGGUAGAAUAUUGGGUUUAUUCUUGCCUGACAUAAGGAGAAGAACUCAUCUCCGUGCUGUAAAAUGAGUCAUCCCCAUUCAUAGCAAAGAAAUUAUCAUUCUUUUCAUCAUCCCACUUAAGGAUCUCCCUUAUGUACUUGAAUGCCUCAUCAACUGAGGUACCCGCUCGAGCUCGGGUCUGCGCCACAAACAACUUCUCACCAGUUAUGGAUGAAUACAGCUCUUUGAAUUUCACCGCCACAUAAUAAUAUGCUUGCUGUGCCAGAGACUGAAUAUUACCGUGGGGCUUAACGGGGCUGAAGUCCUUCAACCACUCACAGACAGACAAAGGAACCUGGUUUAUCUUGGCUUCGAAGGCAUCAUACUUGUUCAGCAAGAGCACAAACGGAGUGUUCCUGAAACACGGAUGCCUCACCAAACUCUCAAACAAAUCUCUGCUUGCCAGCAUUUUAUUACAAAGAAGACCAUUACCCUGGGCCCACAUUUGAUCAUAGUCACUCAAUGCAACACAAAAUAUCACCGCCCUCACAUCUUCAAACAUUUCCAGCCAUUUGCAACCAUCAUUCAAUCCUUUGGAAUUAAUGCGAAUGAGUUGAUACCUGAGACAAGACUCAACCUAGUGAGCAACAGAUUUAUGGUUUUCAUCGGAAGCAACAAAAAAGAAGAAGCAAGAGCACAAGAUAGAAAGCAUUCGAUUGAAGGUGAAAGGAUGAAGAUUUUACUUGGUCAAGGGAGGGGGGCAUUCAUAGUUUUCAUUGUAUAGCUCAGACAUAGCGCUUCUAUCAUCAAAAGAAAAUUCCAUAAAGGCAAGCCCAUUGCUUUGAGUAACUCCCUCAGCAUAUAAAAUGUCAUUCUCGGAAGGCUCAUACUCGUUACUUGAUAUUUCUAUAGCCUGUUGAAAAUGAAACACCAAACAUCCGUGAGGAUAACAACUGAAGUUUGGAAAUUUAGUUGUACUAACGGAAAAAAAAAAAUGCAAUCCAAGCUGCUUUGAAAUUUCUCCAUUUAUUUACCAACCAAUGGAACCACAUUUAUGCCAACUUACCUAAUAUUAAUUUAAGUAAAUGUGGAAGACCAUUAACUAAAUUUGAAAAUACCAUUAGAGGAAUAAUACCAAUUCAACAAAUCUGAUCUUUCAAACAGAAAUAUGAAAUUUGAUAAUCCAGUCUAGUCUUACUAAAUUAAUAUUUAUUUAAUACCCUGCAUUCUGAAUAGAGGAUUCCUUUCAGAACAAAACAAGAAAGACCAUAAAACUAAAGCUGUCUGUCAGUGUUGCACGAAGUAUUCCUGGCAAUUUUGAUCAGCAAUCCUACUGAUGGAUGGAUGAUCAAACCAUAACCUUACCCAGACUUGGGUUAGACUUGUAAAGAACUAAAUAAAAAUAAUGCAGUGGAGGUAAGUUGAUGAGUACUAACACAAGAAAUGAGAGAUAAUAAGAAAGUGGGAAGUCAAAGCAAUCAAGAAUUUAGUAAGGAAAUGUAAUCUAAAAUGAUCACAAGAAUGAGUUAAAAGAUCUAAAAUGGAGCAAAAUAAAAGAUUAAUCUGAAUAAAGUUGGAACCAAAAGAUGCAAGGCCAAAACGAGGAAUGACUAACCCGAUCUAAGAAAUAUUUGGCAACUUCAGGAAGGCAAUGUAAUUCCUCCCUCCUCUUGUAUGUUUCCUGGAUAGCAGAAUCUUUCCAUACUUCAUCUACAAUAGGAGCAUACUCACGUGUAGCAGCAGGGAAGAAUGCAUCCAAGUCUCCCGUUGCCAUGAUAUCCAGUAACCAGUCAGAAAAGUGCUUGAACCUUUGGUUGAUUGCAUAGAUGCAUUGCUCACUUUCAUCAACUACUGUUUCACACAAAGUCAUUUCACAGUCAACCACUGCUUAAGGUUCAUUCAUGCCUACAAGCAGAAAACCAAAUAAGCAAAAUGUUCUAUAUCUCUAAUAACAUGUUGAAUUCCUCUUCAAUCAGUAGGAAAUUCAUAUUAAUGACAAUGGGACGUUAUUUAUUUGAUGUUUACAAUUAGGUUAGACAGUCCCGAUCUCUUGGACUACAGGGGUCUACAAGAUUUGUGGUCAUUUACCGUUGGAUGUAAAUUCAACGGUUCACUCACUCUUGCACUCCUUUUAAGAAACUUUUUUGAACCAUUGGAUUAAUAUCCAACGGUGGGUGGCCACAACAUCUUGGACUCCUGUGGUCCAAGAGAUCGGAACUGUUAGGUUAGAUAUAACAUGAAAUUUCAUCAACACUGACCCCAGUUGCUUGUGUCGAGAUUGACAAAAGUGUUGGAACAGACAGAAAAACAGCUACCUACCUACCAAGUCCACUUCGAUACAACCAACUAAAAGACUCUUAGAUAUAUGCUGUUUCAAAGAUGGAGAUAACAAACAGCUACCUGCCUAAGCGUCCAGUUAGUCGAAGGAACAAUUUUCAUCAGAAAAAGGAGAAAAUGAAAGUCAUUUCAUUAUCUGACCCCCAAAAAAAAAGUCAUUUUCAUUAACUUAUUACAUAAAUAGAGACCUGAAGGAGAUUCUUCAGCAGCCGACGAAGUAGCCCUAUUCUCUGUCAAUGCUUCCUCUUCAAAACGUUCUCGGCCCUCAAGUAGUAUACUUAGAUACUUGUACAUAUUGCUCUGAAUCAUGAGCUUGAUGUUCUGCAGCUCUUCAGGAGUGAACUUGUUUCCAUAUAAGAACUUUGCCUGUUCCACAGAAAAAAGAAGAAUAACAUAAGCAUUUUUAAACUGUAAUUCUAUUCAAAAAGCAUGACAUAGUAUGCUCAUACAAAGAAAUAAAGCUUCUGAUUCAAAAAUAAAUUAAUUAAUUAAGCCCUGGGGGUUUUCGCUAACCGACUCCAACGUAUCAUGCAAUUUGAUUAUCCGCAAAAGGAAAGUUAGUAGAUUAAAUAGACUUGAAUCCUCUUGCUUUGUAAUAUCCUUAUUUUGAAUCUGAACUCUUCACACAAAAUCUAAUCGCUCAUACUAUGCUAAAUGCAUAAAUUAACCUUCCUAAGGUUAACGCCAUCUCUUCUAUACUCUCUUUCUUCUUUUUCUUUUCCCUAUCCUCCCAUUCCGGAAUUCUGCAUCUGGUUCUCCCUUUGUUUUUCACAUUAAUUCCUUAACUCUCAUGCAGUAAAAUCAAGCUUGUGGCUCUGGAAAACACAUAUUGAGUUUUCAUCAUUAGUAAAAGCUUCUAUUUUAUCACUUUCAACAGUGGAGGACUGAAAUAACUUAUCUACAAUGAAUCAGUGAUCGAGAUGAUUGAAUUUCCUCUGCUUCUAGUAUUAAUCUAGAUCCACAAAAAUAUGCAGCAUACUCUUAGCUACUUUUGAGGUUUUACCAUACAUUCUAAGUUCCAAGUUGAGGCUUUUCAGUAAAAACAGCCACCGGUUUCAAGAAAUGACUGCAAACCACAUAAUGACAUAAAGGAAGAUAAGGUAGGUCCACUAUCACAAGAAAGGCAACACCUUUUUAAUUGUCAAUUUACGAAUAUGUCACGAAUCACGAAGACAAGGUAAAUGGAACUAUUAACUUCCCUUUUGUAUUAAGUGAAACAACUUAAAUUCUGAAUAUUCGAUUGUUGAACACUAAACCAACAAGCAUUUGCUCUAGGAACAAAACACAUGAUAGGGUAAAUCUAUACAAAAGUCUUGGUUGACUGGAGCAGAAAUUAGAAAACACGUGAAAUAAAAAAAGGACAAAGCCAUGCUGGCACCCUAAAAGAGGAGGGGCUGGAAGAAAAUCAAAAAGACGCAUACCUGCUUGAAGAUGGUGCUAGUUCCAGAUCCCUCCAAGCCAAAUAACAGAAGUUUCUGAACUCUUCCCUGUUCCAAAUAUUCAGGGACUGACCUACUUGAAGGUGUUGUAGGAUCUUCAUUUGUCCCGUGUUGAUUACCAGGUGGUACAGGCAAUGAGAAUAAUGAACAAAUGAAACGAGUGGAUGCCUGCCUACCAAAAACCAAAUUGCAACUGUAUAAAAUUUCGACUCAGAAUCAUCUGCCAAAGUUUCAAACUCAGACCAAUCAACAAAUAUCCAAAAUUCAUGGUAACGAAAGAACCUUUCCCCAUAUAUUCCCUUUAAUGUUAUUUUGACCUUCCUCCUCAUAAGAUCCAUCAUCAUACACCCAGAAAUGAGUAUCUGGAGGGCACUGCACUUUGGCCAGCUGAAAUAUAAAAGGCAAGUAAUAAGGUUCAUCUUAUCGCAAUUAAAUAAAUCACGUAGCAAACAUAAAAUUUCAUGCAGGUCCAUGUUAUUGUUACCUUCAGUUAGAAAACUGCCACUAAUCACACUAUUACCUAAUAAACUUACUUAUGAUGGGAGAUUCUAUAGUAAUUAGUAAGGCAUUCAUGUUCAAUACAAACACUUCUUUAACCUUUUGAUUGACAGGUUCACUUUUUCACAGUAUGGUUUAGGGUUUAGAUUUCCAAAUUGGCGCUGGUUUAUUCGUAUUGAAUAUGAACCCUACUGCAGACCGGACUCAUUCAUUAGGGACUUUUGGGGAUUCAUUGCGAGCAUACCUUCAACACCCUACGCUCAGUCUUGGUGAUCUCUCGGCCAUUCAUGAACACUUUGGUGUUCCCAUUGCUUGCAUCGAACCGGAGCUUACCUCCAACAUUCAGUUUUGAACUAAUGAUCCUGUCGGGCUUCUCUCCCUCCUGAAAUCAAAUAAAAUUAACUGUAGACAUAUAAAAACAUGCAACACGAUGCUGUAAAAUGCUCAUCCAAUAUAUAUAUAUAAAAACUCACCUUGCCCCAAAGGCCAGAAUCUUUAUCGUACCAAUACCUCCCAGGCUUCAACUUCUGCGGAGGCAAUUCACAGCCCAAAAUCUCAGCCAGUUCUUCUUCCCUCAACAGCCUCCCAUUCACAACUAACUGCUCGGGUCGAAGCUGAUUGGCAGGGCACUCCUUCUCGGCCUUCAUUAUCUGCCGAAUCUCCAAAGGGCUGCAAACCCUUGACAAGAUCCUUGAACACUUGCCCAAACUCGACCUCUUGGACUCGUCUAUUGGCUGCCCAAUGCAGCUCACACAUUUACGCCCCUCUGGCAUCGACCCCAUGGCUUUAAGCAAGCAAUUGCUACAGAACUUGGCGUCGCACACCAAACACCACUCUCUCUCCUUCAAUCUGUUCCCUUUUCCGCACCUGCUGCAAAUCCCUCUCUUAUUCGUCCGCCUCCCAGGCGAAGAAGCCAAUGCAAUCGGCGAUCCCAAUGGUUCGGUGGCGCUGGAUUGCGGCGACGAAGACCUAUCAGCCUCGUUAUCGUUUUCGUGGUCGUCUUCGUUCUCCGAAUCUCUUGGCGUAUUGAAAGUCACGACGGCCGCUCUCUUUCCUCCGGUGGUUCCGAUCGGUUUCUGCUGGGGAUUCGAGUCUUGAACUGGUAAUUCAGAGCUAAAACCUUGGUCUGCUCCUUCGAAUUCCGAUCCUUCCCUGCCGUUUUGCAAAUCGAGUUGCGACUUCGGAGCCGAAGAAGAGGUCGUGCUACUGCUGCCCGGCUCUUUUACACCAGCACCGUUCCUGACCCGAUUGAAGCGCGAGAGCUUCUGAGCGACCGGCACAGCUACCGGAAUGGAAGAGAGGUCUGAAACCGAAAGGGAAGUUACAGAAGAAGUUUGAAGGGAGUCGAUUUGAACUGGAUCAACCCUGGGGAGAUCGUCGUAGGGCAAGGGAGGGCCUUGGUAUUCGACUGCGAUUGAGUAGUCGAGGUGCUCUUCGUCGGGCAAUGGUGCGCCAGCAGGCAGCAUCUUUCUCAGGAGGUCCUUCCAGCUUUUCUCGUCCUCUGCUUCCGAAGCCAUAGCGAGGGAGGGCUGUUUGGUUCCCGAGAAAAAGCUCGGGAAAGCGAGAGAGAGAGAGAGAGAAAGAAAAUCAAAUGAAUGAAAGGUGGGUGGGUGGGUGUGUGUGUAAGGAAGAGCUGCGUGGGGGCGAGAGUUGACACGAAGAGGAGCAGAGAGCAGUUGGGGGAAGUUGGCAGAGAGAAAAGAGAGUGUGGAGGGAUUUCGUUUCCGUUAAAGAGUUGAUGUCAACGAUGAUGCUGACAAUUUUUAAGAUUUGAAAUUGAUUUCGUUUCCUAUAAAUAUUAUUCGAAGAGGAAGAAGAAAGGAAAUGGAGGAGGAGGAGAAAGUUUGAUCUUUCCUUUGACAGUUGACACACUACUUACUUGUAACUUGUUACAAGACGACUGUGUCGUCUUCACACACAAGCACAACAUAUAAAAAAAAAAAAAAAAUUGCUGCUGCUCUCUCUCUCUCGCAUUUUUUUUAAUGCCUUGUGUAUUCAUCUUGUUCAAGACGUGAUUUAAUUUCGUAACGUGCUUUUUGUGUUUUAAUUUCGUAAUCUGAUUUUGUAAAGAGAAAGACACACACAUAACUACUGUACCAUCAGUCUCAUUGAAAUUGAAAUUUUGCUACAAUUUUUAUUAAUACAAUUCCUUUAAUUCAAAAGAUAAAUUUUUUUGGGAGAAUGAUUGUCAGCAACAUUUUAACUGCUACAAUUUUUCUCUUAUUUUGCGUUGUUUUCACCCAGUUAAUGAAAUUUUAUUCGCAAAACCUAACCCAACUGUUGACAACAUACAAUGGCAUCAGAAUAGUUUUGUUAAUCAAUCCAAAAACACAGCCUUGUUAUCCCUCAGUGGGGCUGAAACAUAAACACUUAUGCUGCCACUGAUAAUUUUCAAGCGCAUGUAGUCUCGUAUUGAAAUUGGAAAACAAUUAGUGGCUAAUCACAUAAAUUAUCAGCAACAAUGGAAUUGGUUGCUGGAAAUUUUCCUAAAAGUACAAUUUCAAUAAAAUGAGAUGCUAUACAGUAACUUCCGCCGCUGCUGUUUCUCAAAACCAUUCACGAUAUCAUCUAUUGAAUCCUCCCAUGAUUCAGCUGCUUCAAUCUAGGCAAAACAACAGCCAAAACAUACCACCCAUCAGUAUUUUGCAUUACAAAUUAUUGACAAUCAGUGCAACCAUAAAUACAGACCUCUUGACAAAGAUCUAAAGCAAGACGAGCUCCCACAGCUGCCUCCUCGUGGUUAUCUUUUACCUCCAGGUUGAUUAUCAGUGCACACUUCUUAAGAACAUGGUCCCGGUUGUUAAGAUCUAUACAUUGUUGCACAGGGGUCAGACAAGCAAACAAGGAUGGCUUCUCCAACUUACAGAUUAACCACAUAGUCAUUCAUAAAAUUAAAACGAAACAAACAAAAGCAAAUGGUGCCACAAUCUUUGAAGCUUCUUUUCCAGUGUGAACCAAAGGUUCAAAACUGAAACAUAAGCGCAUAUGGUUCAUGUUCUAAAUAGAUAACAACACUACAGGCAGAAGUAUAAAAGUAAAAAUUCCUUAAUUCACCUAAAGAUAACUCUAAACACUAAAAUUUUGAUCAAUUUUAACAAAUUAACCAUUAGAUUAUGUACCAAAAGUAGAGCACUUAAAAGGGAAAGAUUCGAUUUUGUGAGAUACUUCAAGUGGCAGACUAUGAAAUCAAACCCAUAGAGAAAUCUGAUGAAAACCCUGUCUCAUUAACAAAUUGCCAUAUUUUAAAACCAUAAGAAGAGGCCCUCACUCCGAUGGGCAACGGCCUUCUCCAGGAAAAAUAUCUCCAAGUUUAAAGCAAGCAGUCUCAAGCUAACACAUUCCAAUUUUCUACUCUAGUAGUCUCCAGCUCUGGCUUUAACACUACUCUAAAAAUUUCAAAAUCUUCCCGUUUAGAAUAAAUUCUUCCACAAGCUCAACUAAAGAAACGGAAACCCUCAAUGAUCCAAAAAGAUCUGUAUCCAAAAACCCUCACAAGAUAUAAACUUUACCUUUUCCUUGAGAUUUCAGCAUCUCUUAGACUCUAAAACCAGCAACUCUGUUGUAUGUAUAAAGUUCUAAUUUGCAUGGGAACCUUGACACUCCAAGUUUCUUAUUUUCUUAAUAUUCCCCCGCAGCAAAAAAUCAAGUUUAAAAUUUCCCUUGUUGUGCUGUUUCCAUUACCAUCUCCAUUGGUUAAGCUGACAGGAAUCAUAUGUCUAUAACUUAAGAGCUCAAGUUAACUUGCCAAUUGUAUCAGGUCAUCAUCAUUGCUAGAAUAAAAAUUCUAAUACUGAUAUUCUCAAGAGAACCAAGAAACACUACCUCGAAUUCAUAUUCCAACAGCUCAAUAGAUAGAGAUUGCCAAGAAACAAAAAACAGCAAAGGAAAGAACAGCAUUCAAUUAUUUCAUUUUCAGAGUGCUGUACUGUUGAAAUCCAUAAUAUGCAAGCCAUAAAUAGCAGAAGGGAGUAUUACCAACCUUCAAGAACCAUGUCAAAAACCUUUUCUUCAAAUGUAAAUACCACAUCGAAGGAACCGUCAGCAGCAUUAUCUUGCCACCGCUGAGGUGCCAGUUUGACCGUUGAGUUUCUUUUAAGCAUAGGCAAAAUGCCAUUACGCUUGUACCUGCACUCUUGCUGUCAAGGUUUCACUCUGCUUUUAAAUGAAAAAAGCACAGCUCACAAUCCAGAGUACGCACAUACAUUUCAAUUCAUACGUCCUAAAAAACUGAACUAUUGUUAUUGAGAGCAACCAAUCGAAUUAUACAUAAGAUUCAACAGGAUAAUUUCAUUGCCCAGAAAUUAUCAGACUGCCCAUUCAAUUGCCAAAUCUUGAAGCUUUAAGCCUACAAUCUUAGUUACAUACUAGUCCAGCUCGAAUAUAAGAAACCCAAACAUUAUGAAUUCAAGGUGCAAAGAUGAUCUUUUUAUUUUUAAUGUUUUCUUGGUAAUUUAAGGAAUUUAUUUAUUACUCAAAUAUCAAUGACCCAUAACCCCUUACAGGCAGAACUGAAAGCAAGAUAAGAAACUAAAAGAUCCAAAAUUACAAGAAGAACUAAAAGAAAAAGGGGGAAUCAGAACCGCUUAGAUUAUGACCAUUGACAUGACCCACAGGCUCUAAAACCCAAAGCAUCGAAAAACCUAAUUGAAUGAAAUUAAAAGAAGAAAAAGUUUAGAGGAGGAUACAGUUCGGGGUCUUUUCGCCUAAGAUCGUCGAACAUCUGCUUAUAAGGAGUUCCAAAGUCGUAAACGUUGGGUUCUCUGAGGGAAGGACCAGGGAGCUUAACGUGGGCACCAGUGCCGUAAGACGAGACGUCGAAGCCUUGCCUCUUGAGGAGCGAGUGAGCCUCCAUGCUUCGGUUCUGGUUCGACGAACACACCAUGGCGUACCGGAACUUCAUGGCAGACACUGAACACACCACUGUGAACUCUCUCUCUAUCCGAUUCACAAUACGACGACGUCGGGGGCUGGGGCUGCGUGGGUUUUUUUUCACUUCUUCAGUAUUGUCAAUUUCUUUUCUCUUCAAGUAAAUAGUAUUGUCAAACGUAUAGCAGUGCUGCUAUACAGUAUACUCCAUUAACUAGUAUAUUUAAUAGUAUAGCCGCGCGGCUAUACUCCAUACAUAGAAUAUUCUAAUCGUAUCGCCGAGCGGCUAUACUUCAUAAAUUAUAAAUUCAAUAGUAUCGCCGCGCGGCUAUACUCAUACAUAGAAUAUUGUAAUAGUACAGCCGAACGGCUAUAUUCCAUAAAUAGUAUAUUUAAUAGUCUAGCCGCGCGGCUAUACCCCAUAAAUAGUAUAUGUAAUAGUAUAGCCGGCCGGCUAUACGCUAAAAAAAGAAUAUUUCACCAGCAGGCCGAACGGCUAUAAACCAUAAAAUAGUAUAAUAGUAUAGCCGCACGGCUAUACCUUAUAUAUAGAAUAAUUUAAAAGUAAAGGCGUGCUGCAUAUUCCGUACAACGAAUAUUUUAAACGUAUCGCCGCGCGGCUAUACUCCAUAAAUUGAAUAUUUUGACAAUGUAGCCGCGCGGCUAGACGCCAUACAUAGUAUAUUUAAACAUAUAGCGGCUAUACUACAUAAAAUAGCAGAAUCUUGAUUUCGCUUUUUUAAUUAGUUUAAUUAGUAGUUGAGUUUUAAUUAUUAUUUACUUAGUGAAUCAUUAGUAUUUAAAUAUUUUAUCAAAGAGAAAAUUUAAAUACUAUUUAUUAAGUAAUAUAUAAUUUAUGAAGUUAAUUAAAAUAUUAAUUAUUAAUUAUUUACUAAAGAAAUAAUAAUUAAAAUAUAAUUACUAAUGAAAGUAAUUAAAUAAAGCUAAUAUUUUAUUUGAUUACUAAAUUGAUAUUUAUUUUCAAAAAUAUCUCUCCCGACGAACUUUCAUCGGUAUAGGUCUAUCAUGGCGCAAAUUUGCCAAUUAGACCUCUCCCGACGAACAUUCAUCAAAAGAGGUUAGUUUCGUCGAGGGAGGUCUAAUCCGGCAAAUAUUUGCCGACAUAGAUCUAUGCAGACAAGGUUUUGUCUGGGGAGGUUUUUUUUUUUAAUAAAAAUAUAAAUUAUAAAUUUAGUUUCUUUAUUUUAGUUUUUUUGUCAACUUCUUUAGUUUAAUAUGUGUAAUUAAGUAACAUCUUAGCUUUUUUAAAUUAUUUUAAUUAGUAAUUAUGUUUUAAUUAUUAUUUCUUUAGUUAAUAUUUAAAUAUUUUGUUUAAUAAAUAGUAAUUAAUUAUUUUCCGAACAUUGUUUUUGUUUUUUAUUUUUAUAUUAAAUAAUAAUUAAAAUAUAAUAUAUUUAAAUAGUAUAGCCUCUAGGCUAUGCAGUUCAAAUAUUCAAAUUUAUUUAAGGAAAUAUGACAAAGAACACCUAAAAAGAUAAGCAACCUCUUUAUAUCAUUGCUCAUGCACAUGCAACACACAAAAAAUGCAUAAAUUUUCCCUCAACCACAAGCGCACACUAGGGAACAAACCUAUAAUGUAAAUACGUACCAUGUCUAAUUGAUUCAUUAUAAAGAAUCUUGAUUUUCCCUCAACCACAAGUGCACACUAAGGAACAAAGCUUUGUUACAGUGAAAUCAAGAUUUUUAUUGUUGGAAAUAUAUUUAAAGAGUAUAGCAGCGCGGCUAUACUCCAUGAAAUAGUAUAUUUAAUAGUAUAGCCACGCGGCUAUAAGCCAUACAUAGAAGAUUUUAAUAGUAUAGCCAUGCGGCUAUACGCCAUAAAUAGUAUAUUUAAUAGUAUAGCCGCGCAACUAUACCCCAUAUAAAUAUUAUAUUUAAUAGUAUAACCUCUCGACUAUACUCCAUACAUAGAAUAUUUUAAAAGUAUAGUAGCGCGGCUCUUAGUAUUGAUUGGUUGUGUUUGAUUAACCAAGUAUCGUCAUCCUUUUCUAAUAUAAAAUUUGUUUGGAAUGGGUUCCAUCACACUACUUGCUAAGCUAGAUGAUAACUGAAUAUUAUGUAUAAUGUCAUAUUUUUUAUUGUUUUGUAGCCUCAUAUAUAAAUAUAUAUUUUUUUUUUCAUAUACGUAACCAAGUAUGUAUGAAGGUAAUGACAUAGAAAACGUAGAAAUUGAUGACGAAGAAAUAGAGGAAGACGAAAUAAAUGAAGAAUUUGAUGAAGUCAUUAAUAUUUUAGUGAUGGCAAUUUAUGCAAUAACACAUAUACUAAAUUAGUUUCUGAUUAUGAUGCAUGGUGAACAAAUUGAACGUCCACUAACUCGACGAUGAAUUACUAGCAUUGGAUAUGACUAUAUACAUCAAGCAUUGAAUGAUGAUCUUGCAAUCUUCCGGCAAGUAUAUAGAAUGUAUCCAUAUGUAUUCCAUAAGUUAUGCACUAUUCUUAGAGAAAAAAAUACUUUUGGAGGAUACAAGAUUUAUUUGUGUUGAAGAAAUGCUUGCAGUGUUCCUACAAAUCAUUGGCCAAAAUACUAGAUAUUGUGUAACUCGUAAUACAUUUAGCCGAUCACAAUUCGCUGCAAGUGAAAAAUUUUACAAUAUUUUAAAGGCCUUGAAUUCAAUAGCAUAUGAUUUGAUGGCUAAACCAGAACCGGCUGUGCCCGCUAAAAUACGGGAAAGCACAAGGUUUUACCCUCAUUUCAAUGCAUGUGAUGAUUAUCUAAUUAUAUUAAUAUUGUAAUUAUAAUUGUCAUUAUUAUAAUAUGUAAUUUUCAUAAUAUGGUUAUAUUUACAUAUGAAUAAUUUUAGGAUUGCAUCAGAGCUAUUGAUGGUACAUAAGGGACGAGAAGCAAGCAGCUAUGGUAAUCGUCAUGGAAAGAUAUAACAAAAUAUAUUAGCAGCUUGUAACUUUGAUUUGGAAUUCAUUUACGUUCUUAGUGGGUGGGACGGUUCAGCUCAUGAUUCAAAGCUACUAAGUGAUGCUUUAUCAAGGAGGAACGGACUUAAAGUGCCUCAAGGUAAAAUCCUAUAAGUCAUUACAUUAUGAUUAAAUCCACUUAAUUUUUUUAUUUUAAAGUAAUCUUUUAAAAUCUCAUUUGAAUACACCCACUAAACCUCCCUUAUAUUUUCAAAAAAGUCACUAUCAUCAAAAUGCAUUUUUCCCUAUCUAAAAUAUAUAUACACGAAAAAAUAAGGCUCCACUAUAAGUGGGACGCGUGGCCCGUUAAGCUAUCACUCGUAAGUUCGUAACAUAUAACCAAAAUAAGAAAUUUCAGAAAAGCAAAUUGGGCCAAAUUAGAAAUCAAUGGCUGUAAACAAGUCCAGUCGAUGCAAUUCAAUGGAGGCCGAGGCCCCAACAAAAAAAAGGCGGAGAUGAUUUUUUGUUUUUGAGUUACAAAGAAAAUGUGAUUCUCAAUUUUUCACAAGAGGACGCAAUCCAACAUAAUCACUUGGAACUCCUAAGUGGGCCCCCAAUGCUCUAUCCUUAUUUGGGUUUCUGGAUAUAUCGCGAAGAUUGGCCUUGGGGUACUUCCAAUGAAAUCAUCUCAGAGCAACAACAAAAGUGUACUAUGUGGAUUGAUGUGGCAUGUUCACUUAUUACAAAACAACAACAAAAUUGUAUUUUUAUAAUAAUAAAAUAUGUGGGAUCUAAGACACCUAUUUAUUUUGGAGUAGUCAAUAUUGUCUUAGUAGGGAGAGUAAGUAUAUUUUACCUACUCAUUUGACUUUUUUUUUGAAACAUGAAAAUGGUAUGUGGCAAGGCAAACGAAGUUUACUUACUCUUUUAUCUCUUUCAAUGAAGAUGCUUUUAGACUGGGCUCGUUUGAGAGUGAUUCUGGAGAGGCAAAUAAUCACUUUUAUAAAUAAUCACUUUAAGUUAUUAUAUGGAAAAGCACGUGAAAUGUGCUUCUCUCCAGAAUUACUUAAAAUCACUUAUGGAGAAGGAAAUGGAAAGUAUUUCUUCCCAAAAGUAAUUCAAAUCUAUUAUGAAUUACUCCCAAAUGAGCCCAUAGUGUUAUUCUACAAGGUUUGGUGAAGCCAUGAAACUGGAAAGUCCUAAGACAGCCAUGUUUUUAUAUUUUUGCACUUAAAAUAUAAACUUAUUUGGAGCUUCUCUACCAGAAUAAAAACUAAAUCCCACCAAAUAGUCAUAAACUUAGGAUCUUCUCCUGCUUUACAAAUUAUAAAUAAAAUAAAAAAAACUUAGGAUAUUCUCUACAAAUAUAUAUAUAUAUAUAUGUCUCGUUGAAAAUGUUGUUUGGGCUUUGGCCCCUAUUAUACCCACACAAAAGAAAUAAUAAUGCACAUAAUUUUUUAUUUAUUUUCCCAUUAUUUUGUCUCUAUUUCCAGAUGGAGGAUAAAGGAGGAUCACAAAAUGUAAAAAUUGGCAAUUUUGCACUACGCCCACAGAAACCUUUGAAUUGUAAACGCCGACGUCUCCCUACACGUAACACACAGAUAGACACGCACACGCUCUCUCUCUGUCUAUAAAUUUUGCUCACUGGUAUGAAUUCCACAAGUCCUGUUGAAUUCCCAUUUUGCUAACUAGGUUUUCAUUGUUAAGCGAAAAAGAAUCAGAUUUUCAUCUUCCUGUCAGUUUUAAUCAUAAAUUAUAGGGUUGGGUUAGCAGAGCUGAAGAUGGAAGCAGCAGCCACGGCGAGCGUUGUCCAAUCAUCAAUCGCGGCCUUUAGGCCUUCCAAUUCAAUUGGCAGAUCGGGUAAUUUGGCGGCCAAUGGUCCCGCCGGUUUUCUGCGUUUGAGUCCUGGAUUUCACUUCUCAAUCAAGGUACUUUUUUGUUGUUGUUGGGGAUUUGGUUUCCUAAUGCGGUUUCUAAUAUGCUUGGUAGGUUUGGGGUCUUGGGUCUAUACAAUAUGCAUGAUCCCGAGUGUGUCGCGAGAAAUAAGUUGAUCUGGUAAUUGAUGAGAAUUCUAGGGUUUCUGUUAAAUAGUGAAAGAUUAAAUCUUGAUUAGGAGUGUAGGACUUUUAGUUGGUAUGGUUAGAUUGUGUUGUUUGUAGCAUAAGCUUUAAUGUCUUUCCACAAAUAAAAGAGAAAAGAGCACAUAUCUUUUUUAGAUUGAUACACAAAGAACGGGUUUUGGAGGUAGGAGAUGACCCCUUUCCGGAACACUUGAGGGUUUUGGAUUGAUUUUUCUUUCAACCCUUUCAGAAUAUUUCUAGCUGUGACAGAUGGACCCUCAUUUUGUUUAUUGGAUUGGUGAGCUUGGAGUUGUAGUUGAGUAAUAUUUAAUCUUAUUUCAUGUUUAGCAGCACCAGUUUUCAAUCUCUCAACCAAAGGUGGGUCAUUGGAGAAUGGGCUUUGGAAGUAGGAGAUGCUUGGUCGUUAGGGCAGCAGCUGCAUCUCCAUCUCCGGACUCAACAGGUUCUACUUCUCCAAUUGCCCCACUUCAGCUGGAGUCACCAAUUGGACAGUUCCUCUCUCAGAUAAUGAUAAGCCACCCGCAUCUUGUGCCUAGUGCAGUUGAGCAGCAGCUUGAACAGCUUCAAACAGAUCGCGACACUGAGCAAAAGCAGGAAGAGCCUUCUGCUUCUGGCACUGACCUCGUUUUGUACAGGUUUGUUGCAAUCUUGCGAUUGAGGAAUAGCCAAUUGUGUUUUCAAUUAAGUCAAGCUAAGCUACAAAAUUGAACCAUAAGUUAAAUGUUUUGUUUUCAUACGAAUAUCAGAAUAAAGGAAAGGAAAAGUUUGACCUUUUUGUGUAAUUUUAGCAAGAAAGUUUCUGUUGUUCUUAACAAUCUAGAAAAUGACAUGAUGAAAAGAUUUUUUUUAUUUAAGAAAAAUAAAGAAACAGAACUUGCAGUCUUUUUUUAUUAUUUUGAUUUAACCUUGCCUCGCCUCCUCCAUCAUUUGCUAUAUGGGACUAAAUAGAUAAAUGUAGUUUUGAAGAGAUAUAUUGAUCCUUUAUUAACUUAUUCUGCAAUAUCAGGAGAAUUGCCGAGGUUAAGGCUACUGAAAGGAGAAAGGCUCUUGAAGAGAUUUUGUACACUUUGGUGGUGCAAAAAUUCAUGGAUGCUAAUGUUUCUUUGAUACCUGCCCUUACCCCAUCUGCUUCAGACCUUUCUGGUCGAGUUGAUACAUGGCCAAGUGAAGAGGACAAGCUUGAGCAACUUCAUUCACCUGAAGCCUAUGAGAUGAUCCAGAACCACCUAGCUCUCAUCCUAGGAAGUCGGUUGGGUGACUCAGCCUCUUUAGCACAGAUAAGCAAACUCAGAGUUGGGCAGGUUUAUGCAGCAUCUGUAAUGUAUGGGUACUUCCUCAAGCGGGUUGACCAGAGGUUUCAGCUGGAGAAGACAGUAAAGAUCCUUCCAAAUGCACUGGGUGCCGAAGACAGUAAUGUUCAGAAAUCUGUGGGGGAGGACAUGAGGCCUGGUGGUGAAGAGGAGUCUUUGCAAGCAGGGGCUUCCCAUCCUGAAGUCACUUCCUGGGGUGGAGGCAUCAGUCCUGGGGGUUUUGGUAAUGGAAUUAAGCCAUCCCGCUUGCGGACCUAUGUGAUGUCUUUUGAUGGAGAGACCCUUCAUAGGUAUGCAACAAUUAGAUCGAGAGAGGCUGUUAGCAUCAUUGAAAAGCACACCGAGGCAUUGUUUGGAAGACCUGAUAUUGUCAUAACACCUCAGGGGACUGUUGAUUCUUCCAAGGAUGAUCACGUCAAAAUUAGCUUUGGUGGUUUGAGGAGACUUGUUCUGGAAGCCGUGACUUUUGGUUCUUUUCUUUGGGAUGUUGAGAGUUAUGUGGAUUCCAGGUAUCAUUUUGUUACAAACUGAGUUAUGUUGAGUGAAGAUCCUGCCCUUGCAAACUUGGUGGUGCGUGUGGAGGCACAACAUUACAUACCAUAAUGGGAUAUUGACUGUAGGCCUAGUGAAAAUACCAAAUAUUUGUAUUUGGUGCUAAUUGCUGUGUAUAUAUAAACUGUUCAAGAUUUGCCUUUGUCCGUGCUGUGUGGAGAAAUAGGUAGGAUUUUAUUACUUUGAUCUCAAGUGUGGAGCCGGACCAUUUUGCAGGGUUUUGAAACUGUGUAAUUUUUCUGUUCGCGUGUCGAGGAUUUUUCAUUGAUACAAGAAGUUACAAGAAGAUAAAACGUGGGUAAUUUUAUUUCAUAGAGAACGCUUAGGGGAGAGUCUGUCUUGACAUCUCUACAUGGAAUCGUAAAGAAGCUUGGAUAGAUUCAGACGAUGCAGAAGUGUGCCAGAUACAUCGUAGAAUGCAAAUUCAGCAUCAGUCUCUGUAAAUUGUGCAGAUAAGAAACCCUGCCCGUCAUAGUAAAACUUGGACCCAUCCCUUUUCAUUUUAAUGUCACCCUUCCAUGCUUUCGACCCACCACCACUGGUCAAGAAUUGGAUUUGGCUGCGUAAACAACUUCAACUAGUGAGAUUUUUAAGAAACAAUUCAAUUUAUUGAUAAAUAGAACUAGUAACGGUUAAAGCUAUGUUUACCUGUUGGUGCUGCUUAUGUGUUCCAAGCAGUGGUCGUGUCCAUUUAUGUACGCAUCAACGUUGUUUGCCUGAAUCAUAAUGAAUCAUAAUAAAAAUACGAAUAGAUUAGAUUAUCGCUUGUACAAAAACUAAACAAAAAAAUAUAUGAAAUAUAUGAAGAUGAAGUUACCUCUAGAAUGGGAAGAAUCUGGUCUACUACUUCUUUGGUGUCUCCAUGAUGCCCUAUGCUUCGGAUUGUAUGAUGUCCGACGACAACUUUCCAGUUUGCAGAAGAAUUUCUCAAUGCAAAAUCUAGAUCCUGUUCCCAAAACAAAAGCAAUGUAUUAGAUUUGGACAAUGAAAAGCACUGUUUGAAUAUGAUGGUAGAAAGGAUCCAAUGUUGUAAUGAGAAAGAUGAUGAGAAGAACCUUCAAGAGGUUGGAGGUGUACUGUUUCCUAGGAAGCACACCUCUCCAGUCAUGCUGGUAGUGCUUUUGCCUCAGAAAGUACUUGUCCACAAAAGGAUUGGUGUCGAUGAAGAAGAAGUCUGCAAUUUUUGUGUUAACAAGAAAGGACCUGAGGCAAAGCCAGCGGCUGUCGAUCUUCCUAAGGACUGGGCUCAAUUGGGCCAAAGCAUUUCCCCUGUAGUCAUGGUUGCCAAGAACUGAGAGUUCCCCAGAAUCAAAGUGAAGGAGAUAAGAUGGAAAACAAAGUCAGCGCCAUGCCUAUGCCAAUUUCCAUGAGAAGAGUCAGUCAGUUUUGUGUGCAAUUGAACUCACCAAUAUACCAUUGCUUUUGGAGGCUCUUAGCAGUGUAGAUUUCAGUAAACGACUCCACAAAUGCAGGGUCAUUUACGCUGGUCAAUCCCCUGCUGUAAAAAUUAUCCCCAGUAGAGAUCACGAAGUCUAUGUUUAAUUUGGCUCCAAUCUCUCCCAUCUACAAUUCAUUACAAAACACCGCAACAUUAUUGUCUACUGUCCUCCAGAAAUCCCUUGCCCCCCUUGGAAACAGAGGAAACAGAGCACCACGAAACCAAGAAAGAAGAAAAUCCCAGGCCACAUACUGAUACUCCACGGAGGAUUUCCAAUAAAUUCCAAGUUUAUAGAUGCAAUUAACAUUCUAAUUGUAUUUAGUUUACUUUAGGAUGGUACCUAUCAAACCAACAAAAAAAAAACUCUCACAUGAAAAUAGUUUUUCUUUCUUUGUUUCUUUCUUAUCGUUUUUUCUGGAAAGAAAGAGCUGAAUGUUAUCCCUGUGCUGCAACAUAUCAUAUGGCUUGUAUUUAUUCGUUGGGAAAAUCUGAACCUGAAAUCCCAUCUCAAAAUAUAUGUCCUUCUCCUGGUGUUGACACCUAAUUACCGAAACAAGUAGAGAGAGCGGUAAAAGGAGGGUGACGCAUGGAGCAGCAAGUGAUGAGUUGUUGGAACAUAAUGGCUUCUGGACAUGCAACACAAUUCACAUUUGUCCUUUACUUUUGCGGAAUAUGCCAAGUAAAAAAGAAUGAUCCCGUUCAAAAAGAAAAAGCUAAUCCGUCCUGCUAAAUGACGAAACUUUUCAUGCAUAUCAUGCAGCUAGCACAGGAACAAAGCUGUUCGUUAGGUGGUACCUUUUCUCUGCAGCUUCUUAAUUAGCUUGCACACAGAGAGAGAGAGAGAGAGAGAGAGCGAGAGAGCGAGCUUCUCAUCAAGACUAUUUCAGUAUGUAAAAGAAACACAUAACACAUAAAAGGAACAGGAAAUAUAUACUACUAUUCCUUGAGGAGGUUGUGUGGAAAAUAGGAAUCAACUGGAGAUUAAAGAAAACAUGAUUAAACCGUGCAAAUUUAAGGCGGGGAAGGAAAUUAAGUUACCAAGUUAAGCAUACAGUUCCCCUAUAAAUUAUAAUUAAUUUUAUUAUGUAAGUAGCAAAUACAAUCUUCUCUCUGUUGUUAAUUAAGAACCAAACGAGGCUUAAUUAUAAGGAAACUAAGAAACUUCGUAGAUAGAAGAGAUCAAGAGUCUGUCUAUGAUAAACAUAUUGAUAAACAGAUUAAAGAGAAGAAAAGUCUGUGGAGUCUAGUUUGUUUUGUAGUAAAGAUGGAUAAAAAUGGAUGAAGUGAAGAGAGAUUAUAAAACCUGAUAAGCUACUUGAGAUUGAUUGUAAGCACCCCUUCUGCCCCAAUCACCAAUCGCCAAGAAGCUAAGUGACCCAUCGGCUUUGACAGGGUGCUCAAAUCGCUGAAGCUCGGCUGUCGACACAGAAACAAAGCUCAACCAAAUAAUAUUGUACAUGCAAAUAACCACCCACAGCCACAGGAAACCCAUGGACAUGGCCGGAUAUUGUUAAUGAUCGAAAUCAACCAAUGUUCUGAUUUGGAACUAUGAUGCAAGAGAGAGAGAGAGAGCAGAGAGUAGAGAGAGAGAGAGAGAGAGCAGAGAGUAGAGAGAGAGAGAGAAAGCAGAGAUGGUUGAAACUAUGAUGAAACUUCUAAAUUUGAGUGUAUAUAUAUAGGCUAAUUCUUCUCAGUGGCUGUACAAACACACAGUAGGUGAUAAUUAAUGAUCUAAAGACCAUAUAUAGUGCAAUAUUUACACUCUAAUUUUAAGAUGUCCCAUACACAAAUGUAAAAAUAACAUGCAAUGCAAAGGAAAGUGAAUGCUACGUCGACCCACCGAUCUACUUUAAGAUAUAGCAGCAGCGGGCCGCAUAUCUGCAAGGUAGUGCAGUAAAUUUGCGGUAACGCUGGGUCCCAUCCUGGCUAGGGUUUCUUUCUUAUCAGUUUCCUAGCAAUUUCCUAAAUCUUGUUUUUGUCUUCCAGGUUUAUGUCCUUUGGCAAUUAGGUGACAAUAAGUGGACCCAGCGGAGAAUCCUCUCUCUGUGUCCUGAGCCUGAAGACACAAACUUGGCUGAUGGAGCCAAAGUUUCAAAUUAAAUGACCACAUUCGUAUCAUGUUACCCUCUUGAUUUAUUGGCGUGUCUCAGUCUUAGAAAAUGUACCAUAUAUUUCUUGGCUUAAUUUUGUCUUUCUAGUUGUUUGCCACGCAAGAAUGGAUCAGUUGGCAGGAAGUUCUGCUAAACACAUCCUUAAUUAUGUUUGUUUGUUUCCAGAUAACAUAUUUGAGAAGCAGCUUGAAUCUGGGUUUCCUUGUUUUGUUUAAAAUGUUGUACUUGUAUGGAGCAAGAUAAUCUUGGCAUAUAUAACUGUAGCGGUCGAAAAAAUCAACCAAUUUGGUAAUUAAGGAUGCAGCCAAAUGAGGGACAUUAAUUAAAAAAUAAGAACAUUUGGUAAUUGAAUCUAUUGAAGAAUACACAAGUCCCACAUCAGAAACUUAACAAAAUAAAAAGUCCCCGUAUAAUAAAUGGUUCCACUCCUAAUAACAUCGAGGCCUUUUGUAUAAAACUCCACACCUGCUAAACAGGUGGGUAAAUUGGCAACAAUAUCAAUGUUGCUAGUGGUGGGCCAAGGGUGUCACACCCCGGGAUCGGCUCCGCCGUAGCACGAUAUUGUCCGCUUUGGGCCCCCCUCUCUGCCCGCACGGUUUUGUUUCUGAGAGCUCACGAACAACUUCUCAGUGAGUCACCCAUCCUGGGAUUGCUCUGGCCCCCAACUCGCUGAACUUCGGAGUUCCUACGACUCCGAAGCCAAUGAGCUCCCAAAAGGCCUCGUGCUAGAUGGAUGCGGUGUGCACAUAUAAGGCACAUCACCCACUCUCCGUUGGUUGAUAUGAGAUCUUACAAUCCACCCCCCUUAAGGGCCCGACGUCCUCGUCGGCACACUCGCACCACACGACAGAAUGGCUCUGAUACCAAAUUAUCACAUCCCGGGAUCAACUCCGUCGUAGCACGAUAUUGUCCGCUUUGGGCCCCCCUCUCUGCCCGCACGGUUUUGUUUCUAGGAGCUUACGAGCAACUUCCCAGUGAGUCACCCAUCCUGGGAUUGCUCUGGCCCCCAACUCGCUUAACUUCGGAGUUCCUACGACUCUGAAGCCCGUGAGCUCCCAAAAGGCCUUGUGCUAGAUGGAUGCGGGUGUGCACAUAUAAGGCACAUCACCCACUCUCCGUUGGUUGAUGUGGGAUCUUACAAUAAAAGAAGAGGCGAACCUGUCAAACAACCGAUACAACCACCCCAGCCAGUCACCCAGCUGAGAAUGAUCCUCUACGGCUAUUUGGUUCCUAAGGAACUAGAAGCUGUUAAUCACGCUCUGAUCGUACGGUCUUGAUUCAUCAACCAAGUUGGGAUUCCUGUCUCCUUAGAAAUCAAGGAUACAGAGGUACGAUCCUAUAGAACAGAUAUUGUCCGCUUUGGGCCCCCCUCACUGCCCGUACAGUUUUGUUUCUAGGAGCUCACGAGCAACUUCCCAGUGGGUCACCCAUCCUGGGAUUGCUCUAGCCCCCAACUCGCUUAACUUCGGAGUUCCCACGACUCCGAAGCCAGUGAGCUCCCAAAAGGCCUCGUGCUAGAUGGAUGCGGGUGUGCAUAUAUAAGACACAUCACCCCCUCUCCGUUGGUUGAUGUGGGAUCUUACAAUCCACCCCCCUUAAGAGCCCGACGUCCUCGUCGGCACACUCGCACCACACGGCAGAGUGGCUCUGAUUGUCACACCCCGGGAUCGGCUCCGCCGUAGCACGAUAUUAUCCCCUUUGGGCCCCCCCUCUGCCCGCAUGGUUUUGUUUCUGGGAGCUCACGAGCAACUUCCCAGUGGGUCACCCAUCCUGGGAUUGCUCUAGCCCCCAACUCGCUUAACUUCGGAGUUCCUACGACUCCGAAGCCAAUGAGCUCCCAAAAAGCUUCGUGCUAGAUGGAUGCGGGUGUGCACAUAUAAGGCACAUCACUCCCUCUCCGUUGGUUGAUGUGGGAUCUUAUAAUAAUUGUCACACCCCGGGAUCGGCUCCACUGUAGCACGAUAUUGUCCGCUUUGAGCCCCACUCUCUGCCCGCACGGUUUUGUUUCUGGGAGCUCAUGAGCAACUUCCCAGUGAGUCACCCAUCCUGGGAUUGCUCUGGCCCCCAACUCGCUUAACUUCGGAGUUCCUACGACUCCGAAGCCAGUGAGCUCCCAAAAAGCCUCGUGCUAAAUGGAUGCGGGUGUGCACAUAUAAGGCACAUCACCCACUCUCCGUUGGUUGAUGUGGGAUCUUACAAUCCACCUCCCUUAAGAGCCCGACGUCCUCGUCGGCACACUCGCACCACACGACAGAGUGGCUCUGAUACCAAAUUGUCACAUCCCGGGAUCAACUCCGCCGUAGCACGAUAUUGUCCGCUUUGGGCCCCCCUCUCUGCCCGCACGGUUUUGUUUCUGGGAGCUCACGAGCAACUUCCCAGUGAGUCACCCAUCCUGGGAUUGCUCUGGCCCCCAACUCGCUUAACUUCAGAGUUCCUACGACUCCGAAGCCAGUGAGCUCCCAAAAGGCCUCGUGCUAGAUGGAUGCGGGUGUGCACAUAUAAGGCACAUCACUCACUCUUCGUUGGUUGAUGUGGGAUCUUACAAAGGGUCCGUCCCUUUGAAAUCUUAACAUGGUAUCAGAGUCAAGUUGGUUGACUGGACCCGAUUAAACCAAAUCAAACAAACUCAAAUCAAACAAAAAAAACCCCAAAUUGAAUCAAAAUCAAACAAACCCCAAAUUAUAAAAAUAAAACAAAUAAAAAAUAAAAAGUGAACGAUGUGGAAUUGGUUGCACGUGUGGCCCAGUAAAAAGUGGUCCCACGUGAGGAGGAGUGUUGAAGAAUACACGAGUCCCACAUCGAAAACUUAACAAAAUAGAAAGUCCCAUAUAAUAAAUAGUUCCACUCCUAAUAACAUCGAGGCCUUUUGUAUAAAACCCCACACCUGCUAAACAGGUGGUUAAGUUGGGGACAAUAUCGAUGUUGCUAUUGGUGGGCCAAGGAUCCGUCCCUCUGAAAUCUUAACAGAAUCUUCGUCCUGGCAACAAUCUAUAAUAUGAACUAUAUGCGGCUGCAUUGAAUCUGAAUCUGAAGCUAUAAUAUCUUCCCUCUAGGCUUCUAGGCUGGAGGUACAAAACUUAAUUUAUGUAGAUGGGUGAAGCUGCUUGGAAGAAUGCGAUCUAUGUAAAACCUUGCCAAAAACAUCAUAAAAAGCGAUCUCUGCAUCCGUGGGAUUCAACUGCACAGACAUAAAGCCUUGACCAUCAUAAAAGAAGUUGAGCCCUUCUUUGUUCAACCCCUUAAUGUCUCCCCUCCAUGCUUUGGACCCUGCUCCACUUGUUAGAAAUUGUAUUGGGCUGCAACAAAUCCAGUUUCAAUCAGCUUUAGUUGCACAUACAGACUCUUCCAUUCUUAAGAAACACCUGAAUUGAACUUACCUUUCUGUGUCACUAAUGUGUUCUAGGCAAUGAUCGUGCCCGUUCAUGUAAAAAUCGACAUCAUUGGCCUAAGAUUUAUGAAGGAUUUAGCAGAGUUAGCAUCUAUUUUACAUCCAUUCAUCUCAACAAGAAAGCAGCAUAAAAUUAACCCUUUGCUUUAGAAUUGGAAGCUUUGACAGAUAUACCUGAAGGAUUGGGAGAAGCUGCUUUAUAAGUUCCUCUGUAUCACCAUGAUGCCCAACACUUCUAAUUGCAUGGUGACCAACUACUAUCUUCCACUUUGCAGACGACUUCUUCAGUGCAAACUCGACAUCCUAUUACAACAUCAUUAUUUAUAUUAAUAAGCAUCAUCAAUGAUUAAGCACAUUUUAGGUAAGAAAGAUACUCAAAAUUCAAAAUGGUAGCAGAAAAUUAAUUAUAUAUAUAUUAUAUACCUUCAAUAAGGUUGCAAUAUAAUCCUUGCGAGAGGUAAUGCCUCGCCAAUCAUAAGUAUGGUCCUCUGUGUUUGUGAAGUACUUAUUGACAAGAGGAGUGGUGUCCACAAAGAAAAUCUCUGCUAAUUCUGGGGAAAAAGAGAUAGGACGAAAUUGCUUAUGUUAUGAUUGAGUCUUACAGAUAUCAAUUUCUUGUGUAGAAAAACUGAUACUAAGAGUAUGUAUAAUAUAUGCUCACCUGCAUUGACAAUGAAAGACCUCAAACAAAUCCAUCUGCUAUCAAUUUUCCUAAGAAGAGGGCUCAGUUGAGCCUCUGCAUCACCCCUGUAGUCAUGGUUGCCCAACACUGCAUUCAAAGUUAUCAAAGUCAAAAACAAAUUUAUUGAAAUUUUUAUAACUAAAAGCUUUCUUUCGAGUAUUGGAAAUUUGGAACUUACCGCUGUACCACUGCUUUUGCAGGCUUUUUGCUGUGUAGAUUUUGGUAAAUGACUCCUCAAAUGCUGUGUCAUGUUCGCUUGCCAAUCCAUUAUCAUAAAAGUUAUCGCCCGUCGAAACCACAAAAUCUAUGUCAAGCUUCUCUCCAACCUUUCCCAUCUACAAAAGUAGUCGUACCACAAAUUUGUUUAGCAAACACAGAUUAGAUUGACUAAUUCUUGCACUUGAAGCAAUCAAGAAAAUGCAGGCAGGGGACUCAGAGAGAAGAAAAACAACAAAGGGAAACAAGGUAUACUGUUAUAUGUUUUUUCUUACUAUGUAAAACUUUUUUUUUUAUGAAAGUAUGUUCUUGAGUGGCUGUGGCUUCACAUGAUGCACCUUGCCAGAAAUCAUGAGUAGAAUAUAUGAAUGACAAGAAGCAUUAGAAGUUGUGGAACCUGAAAGGCAACUUGAGAUUGGUUAAAAGCUCCUCUUCUCCCCCAGUCACCAAGUACCAAGAAACUAAGUGAUCCAUCUUCUUUGGUGGGAUGUUCGAAUCUCUCAAGCUCUGCAGAUGUAAUUACCAGACACAGGCCAAAACUCAGGAUCAAGAAAAAGCACAAGGUCCUGGAAUUUUUGUAAGGUAUAGCCAUAAUUUGAUAUGGCUCUGCCGGAGUUUAUAAGGAAAUUAAUAACUGUAUGUAUGGAUGAAUGAAACUGAGGCAAGAGUAAAGAGUUAAAGAGUCCUGCGGCCUCUUAUAUAAUAGCAAGGUUGGUAAUUAAGUAAGAAACAAGGCCAUUUAAUUAUAAUUAUGAUUCAUGAUGAAGAUGAUGACAGCAUAUUUUCUCAUCCAGCAACUGAUGUUGGUGUAAAAUUUGUAAUUUAGUGCUGCUGAGUGAUUCUUUCUUUCUUUUUCUUUGGUUUUUUUUUAUUAUAUAUAAGUAUUGGUUUAAAUUUGAUUGCGUUUGAUUUGACAGAGAGAACAUGAACAUGACUCAUGACCAUAAUGUUGUUUCAUGGAUUAUAAAUCUAUAGUUAGAACAGACAGUUUCAACUUUGAAGACAGUGCAGUACACAAGAGGUUUGCAAUUAAAAAACCCAAUUAUUUAUAACCACACAACAGAAUUUGUUAUAAUCAUGCAGGUGCAUGCAUCAGAAUUUCAGAAAGAUGCAGUGAUGAGAUGCGAAUAUGCCUCUGGCAUAACUGCUAGAGCCGUUUAGAAUAUUCGGAGGAUCCGAGUCCAAGAUCGGGAAUUCUGUUUUCCCCCACUCAGAAUAUGACACGGCAGACGUCAUCAUCACCUAAAAGCGAGCCAAAUUGGUUUCUUUGAAACUACCUUCUUUUUUUUUUUUUUUAAGAAACUACUAUUGAGUAUGACUACUACGGCUCCUUAACCUAAUAAAGGCUAAUAAAGGCAGAGGGUAAGCGAGAAGAAAUACUUUCCUUUCUCCGUUUCAUUGUAUUCCUAUUUUUAUCUCUCUCUCUUAUGCUUUAAUAGGUGGAGUCAUGCUAUAGUGAGGGACUUAUCUAAAGCCCUUAAAUAAGAUAAUGUCUUCUCUCUUAACUAUUUGAUUAAACUAAUUCAUUUAAUCUAACUCCUAAUUAAUUUGAUCCAACGAUUAAGAGAUAAUGUUUCAUCUAAGAGCCUUACUUACUAUAAAAUUCUUGUUGAUAGGUGAUAGAAAGAUGAGGACAAUGAAACUAGAAUAGAAAAGUUUUUAAUAGUUUAUACAAUAUUUUAAAGGUAUGCCAAGGGGGUAUACUCCAUAAAUAGUAUAUUUAAUAGUCUAGUCGCACGGCUAUACUACAUAGAAUAUUGUAAAGGUAUCGCCGCGUGGCUAUACUCCAUAAAAGUAUAGCCGGACAGCCAUACUCCAUAAAAAUAUUUACGCUAAAUAUUUAACAGUAUAACCGGGCGGCUAUACCCCAUAAAAUAGUAUGUUUAACGGUAUAUUUUAAAAGUAUAGCCGCACGGCUAUACUCCAUAAAUUAUCAUAUUUAAUAGUAUCGCCGUCGGGUAUACUCCAUGUACAGAAUAUUCUAAAAGUAUAGCCGCUCGGCUAUACCCCGUAAACAGUAUAUUUAAUAGUAUAGCCGGUCAGCUAUACCCCAUAAAUAGAAUAUUUUAACAGUAUAGCCGCUCGGCUAUACUUUAUAAAAAUAGUAGAAUCUUGAUUUCUCUUUUUUAAUUAGUUUAAUUAGUAGUUAUGUUUUAAUUAUUAUUUACUUAGUGAAUAAUUAGUAUUUAAAUAUUUUAUCAAAGAAAUUUUAAAAAAAAUUUAUAUACUAUUUAUUAAGUAAUAUAAUUUAUUAAGUUAAUUAAAAUAUUUAAUACUGAUUAUUCACUAAAGAAAUAAUAAUUAAAAUAUAAUUACUAAUGAAAGUAAUUAAAUAAAGCUAAGAUUUUAUUACUAAUAGAAAAGUUUUUCUCUUAAGAGAGGGAGAAUGAGUACCUGCACAAAUUGGAUCAGGUUGGAUUGAUUUGAAAAAAAAAAUAGAGUAAAAAAAGGGUUGGAUCGCAUCUAAAAUGAUAGCCCAAAACCUAUAUGAAAGCCCAUAAUCAAAAGAUGUUUGAGUUGGGUUCAGAAGUUGGACUGGACCACAGCUAGAAUGUUGGCCCAAACUUGAGGUCGGUUCCAGAGUUCACAGCUUAUAUUAAACGAAUAGGUGAUUAGGGAUUGUGGUUGAUUACAUUCGUUCUUGAAGAAAUCAGAAUUAUAUUCAUCGUCAAGAAAGAAACAUCCUUUCCUUAGCUCUCUCUCUCUCAAACAUGCUAAGAUCAGACGAGGAAGACGCUUCAGAGCUCAAGAUUGGAGACGGUAUCUAAAUAUUAUUUUCCCAAAGAUGUUUUCAAAUCCCUAAUGCACAAUUUUGGACAUUGUUAUCGAUGUGAUCCUAGGCAGAGUUUUACCUGCUGUUCGGCUGUUUUGUCAAUUUUCAAUAUCAUGAUACCUAAAGUUUUGUUUGUGUAUCAAUGAAAGAGGGUAGAAAACCAUCAAUUUUGUAUGUAUAAAGAAAAAGAAGUAUAGAAGAUGUGACAUUGUACCAGAAAGAAAGAAAGAAUGACUGUUGGCGUAUAUAUGAAUGAUAUAAACAUGAGUUUGUAUGGGACCUUGAUUGAAUUGUAAACGUAGUGAGGUUAAAGUUUGAAUAUAUUAAGUUAAUGACAUUGAGUUUGUGGUUGUGAAGAUUUCUUGAAGGCGAAAUGUUUAAUGAAUAGUGAGGUUGCCAUUCUGCUUGAGCAUAGAUGUGAUCAGAUGAAGCAUAUGUCUGGCGAUUCAACGACCCAACUUCCUCAGUAAGAUUUACAUUACACUCUCGUAAUCUCGUAAUCUCGUAAUCUCGUAAUCUCGUAUCGUAUAUUUAUUAUUGUAACCAUUACCAUACAUACAUUAUAUAUACAUAUAUGUUGUGGCUGUGUACUAGAACCAAAUAAGAACCAAGAACCAAGAACCAAAUGAUGAUGAUGAUGAUGAUGAUGAUAAUAUUUGAUCAAAAUGGAUGAUGAUGUUAUUUUCCUUUCCUGGCUGUGUAGAGUGUUGGAGAAAUCACUGCAGUAUGUUAAGCGCUUCAGUCGCUUCACGAAUCAGGGCUCUGUAAAGCAAGUUCGAGAGUAUCCUACAUUGCUUGCUUUCUUGUUGUUGAUUUAUAUACACUAUUACAUGUGGUAGUCUUCGUUGUUAUUCUUAAUAAAUAGCAUUCAGAGUCCUGAGUAGAUACCAAUUGGCUGAAUUCGAGGUAAUAAUUAGGGAGAUUCACUAUUAUACCCAAUAUAUAUUCGAGGUACCAAACCAAAACAUUCAUUCAAAACAACAAAUUAAUUUGUUAAUGUGUUCUGCCCUGCAGCUGGCUGUCAUUGGGAAUCUCUGUCCUGAAAAUGUGGAAGAAGCCAUGUCACUUGUGCCUUCCCUCAAGGUAUUUUUUUAUUUCCGUUUCAUCAUUGAUGUUUUUGUCUGCAAAACCUAUAAUUGAUGAACCUCCCUCCUCAUCAAAUUGCAGACCAAAGGACGUGGGCAUGAUGAAGAAGCCAUUGAGAGACUGUUAAAUGACCUCUUGAUGAUUAAAAAGUUUGAGUGAAAUAUGUGCUUCCUUCCAGCCUUCCAUGUUUCUGUGGUCAGCUGCUAGUUUAUAGCAUGUUUUGAUUUAUGGCCCAACGUACGGUCUUGUCUUGAGGCAGGCUUGGUUGUGUAUGGAGUUUAAGCAUAUGGGCCACGUUAGGCCAGACAACAAGACUAUCGAAGCACAGUCGAGUUUAAUUCAAGAAACAUAUUUCAUUUUCAGUUUUCAAAAUCGCCAUUAAUUUUGAAAACAACUUUAUAGUGUCUUUAGUCUUUUUCUGGAGCUACUUUCUCAUUCACCAAUUGUCAUCACUACACCGAUUUAAAAUUUGGCUCAAUUUAUGUCUACUAUAGAAGAAAGAUAAGAAACUCUUUCUGUGUGUUGCCGAUUUAACUCCAGAAAUGAAGAACAUGCAUCGUCUUCGUCCAACCAUACGUAUACAUAUACGUUUAUUCUCUUUUGAUAAUAAAAGAUGGUGUAAUUGAUUUGAAGUAGCAAUAAUGAAGUUGAGGCUGAGGUAGCAUGUAAUGUAACGUAACCCAACUCUACCCUAUCAAUGUCAUCCCUAUUUAUAACUUUAACAACUAGUUAUGCGCAGCAGAGUACAGGGCCUCAUAAAAUAAUUAACGAAAAAGCUAUUCAUUCAAUUCAAUUCCAUAUUGGAGGUGUGAAAUUGAAAUUGGUCAGUCUGAUAAAUUAUUAUAUAUGUGGAUGGUGUGGUGGAAGCAAGGAAGGAAGGGAGGCCCCUGGUGGUUCCAUUCCAUCCACCUUCACGAAUGUUACUCCCCCAAUUCAAACCUGACCUCACAGACUGACACUAUUAAUUAAUAAUGAUAUACAUAUAAUAUAUAUAUAUAUAUACGUCUUGUUAUAAGAAAAUUUUCAUUUAAUUGUCCAAGAAAAUUACAGAAGUAAUUUAAUUAUGUUUUUUGUUUGUUGGAAAUAAUAUUAAAUUUGUUGAGGGUACAAGAAUACAAGGAGUUAAUUUCAUGGUGUCAGCUGCACAAACUGAUGAAGGAGGAUGAGAAAGAAGAAAGCAGGAAAAAAACAAGUGUAGUAGGUUUGGUUUCCAGUUUCCAGUUGCAUCUGUUGGCUCUGUUGGCUCUGUUAGCUCUGUUAGCUCUGGCUUUCGCAGGAUCACAGGCUCUCUCUGAGUACUGGCAGUCAGCCCUGGCUUGUUAAUUGUGGGAUAUUAUAUACAUAUAUAUAACAUGCAGGGGAACGUCUACAUCUUUCCUUCUCGGUAUUCUAUGCGAUGUGAAAGCUCAGUGACAUCCAGUUUUAUGCUUGACACACACACACUCUCUCUCUCUCUGAUAUACUCGCUCUUGUUCAAUUCAAUUCUAUUCAAUUCAAUUCUAUUCUCAAUUAUGACCAACCUAUGGAUGGGAGAUGGGGGGGCGGUGGUUGAUUUCAAUGUUGCCUCGGGCUUUAUGAACAAUAGGAAAAAAGAAACAAAAAAAAGUCAAAAGAAGUCAAAUUCCAAACAAAAGUUUCAAAGGCCCCAAAGCAAAACCCCAUUUUUUUCACCAUAAAGAAAGAAAGAUUAGACAUCAUCCAUAGUAGGCUGCUGCUGCUACUAGCAAAGCCUAGCUAGUAGGCCUUCCCUUUUUGUUGUCAAAAAGACGUUGGAAUUGCUGAAUAAAGUAGAGGCCUUUUCUCUCUCUCUC
rnacentral:lncRNA from 1 species